rnacentral:lncRNA from 1 species
UCGCAAAUUCUCACGUGUUUAUUUAUACAUCUGUCUUGAGUCUCAGUCCUCACAGACACGACACGACACCAAGGCAUGGAAUCACAAAAAGAUGUACAGGAAGGGUAAACAAAUCUUUAUAAAUCCCUACAAGCCCCAGCUCUAAGUACCUCCAAACCUCAUUUACUACCUCUGCAAAGAUGCCUAUUUUCUUGCCUAAGGACAUACCAAGCAAGUCGCCCCUACCUGAGCAGCAGUUGAAGGAAAUUUUCAAACAUCAUGACACCAACGGGGAUGGUCAGCUCAACAAGGCAGAGCUGAAGCAAGCCUUCCAACAUCUCGGUGCGCUUAUUCCCGGCUGGCGAGCACACCGGGCUCUCCACCACGCUGAUGCCGAUGGAGAUGGAUGCAUCAGCGAGAAGGAGAUGAAGGAUCUUGUUGAAUAUGCUGCCAAGUUUGGGUAUACCAUAAAUUAAUAUUAAGCUUAUAGCUACCCCUUUUUAUACUGGGCUUCUUACUCUUACCUUAAAGCUGCAGCUUUCUAUUAAGUAUUGGAAAACCAUUCCCCCUGCUGUGUGAUGUUUCUCAUGCACGUCAGGUACCGUGCACGCAGCGCCGGUAUCUCUUCUGUCACUUGUAGAUGAUGUGCCCGCAAUAAUAAUAAUAUCUACUAUAUGUCUUGUGUGUCCCCUGAAUUGUUCAAAUCAUUAUAUUUUGGCUUUAUUCCUUUGAAUUGGACUAAACAUCGAUCCUUUUUUUUUUUUUUUUUUUUAAAUCUAAUUUAUUUGAAGAUUUAUGUAAGGAAGUGAAGAACUAGAUUGCUGCUAUGUAGUUUCUUUGGCAUGGCUGGUGAAGUCGCCCACUACACAGAUCAUAGUUCAAAGUCGCGGUAUCGGUCAUUGACUCGGGAGGUCCUGAGGCACAUCGGUAUCGGUAUCUCGGAUCGGUAUCGGGUGAUAUGCAAAAAAUUCUAAUUUAAGAGCUCAAAAUAAUUUUAAAAAAUUAUGAAAAUUAUUAAAAAAUUAAAUACAAAUAAGUAGAGUAAAAAAUUAAUAAAAUAAACUUUUAUUAUAUUAAAAUUAUUCAAAUUAUAAUAAAAACAUAUUUUUGGGAUGAUUUAUAAUAAUAUUAAAAAUCUUUAAAAAUAUUUUAAUUUAAUCACUUGAUGAUAAAUAUUUCUUAUUGAAGAUGAAAAUAAUAAAAAGUAAAUUUUUUUAAUAAAAAAUUAUUUAAAUUAAAUAUUUUGAAUUUUUUUAAAAAUAUUUUCAAUUAUUAAAAAAAAUAAAACCAUAAUUCAUCUUUAAAAAAAUAAAUAUAAUUUUUCUUAUAAAAUAUAUUCAUUAAUUUUAAUUUGUAUUUCUUAUUUAUUUGAUAUAAGUCUAUUAUUUAUUAUUUAUUUUUUAUCAUUAUAAUUUUUAUCAAAUUAUUUAAUGCCCAUAUCCCCACCAAAUACUCAUAAUCUAAUUAAAAAAUAAAAACAUAUUAUUUAAAACCUAAAUCCUCAUCACAGAUACCCAUAACCCUCGGUCAUCAAAGAUACCCAUUUCAUUGAGAGGCGGCGUCAAUGGCUGAGCUCCUAGCGCGACUGGGUGAGUCGCAGGUGGUGCAGGCGAUUGGGGCGCGAGCGGGCACGAGGUCCGGGGCUGCGUCACGCCUGACGCCAGGCCGCUAACACCGCGAACGGGUUCGGCAAGGCCAAGCUGGGCCUGAAUGGUGGGCGACGGUGGCGGCAUUGCUGAACAUCGAUGAUAACAGCAGUCCGGCGACUCUGCUCUUGAUGUUGCUCAGUUCCAUCUCCGGCAGGAACUUGGGCGAUCCGAACAAGCAGGCGUGCUUCUUCGACCUCGCCGACAACUCCAAGAUGCAGGAUUCUAACUCUGUAUUUUUCAUUUUCGUGGGUUUUGAUCCUCUCAUCUGAUCUUCUCCACAAUUUCUACUCCAACUCGGGUAUCGGUCCGGUACCGGCCAUGGUCGAGGCGGAUAUGACUCGGCCGAGUCGUACCGGUCUCGACCGAGAUUUUGAACCCUGACACAGAUGGGUGUAGCCGGUGAUGGAUAUGGAUUAUCUGGGGAUGAUGAUGCCUUUGGUCUGAUGGAAAUUAAUUAAGCCACGAGAAAUGAAAGAUAAUUUUAUUUUAUUGUUAAAGAGCAUCUCAUUAUUUGGUCUACGUAUGGAGUAUAACAAACAAUGUCCCCACAAAAUAGCUAAAAGAUUAAGUAAAAUAAAGUACAAACUUGGAAUAAAGGGGUCUUCAGGGAAUCAGGAAUGUAGAGAUGCAAGGGUUGUGCCUUAGAUCAUAUCAACUAUCAGGACGAAAAGGAGAGGAAAGGACCGGCCACUUUCCCUAGAAGGUAGGGAAUUUAGAAGGGCUCACUAUGUAUGAUCAUUGGGGUAUUUAAUUUAGAGGGAACUCUUUAAGGGAAAAAUCAAGGAUGGAAGGUGUAAUUGAAGUUAAAGAAAUAUGAUAAAAAUGUGACAUUUUUUCAUAAAAUGGUUAAUAUUCAACGUUUAUAGAAGAAAUCUCGUAAGGAGAAUUAAGGGUAAAUAGAGAGUGGGUGUCAAAAGAAGAUGUAAAUUAUUUUUAACUAUCAUUAUCGGAUUUAGAGUGUGGUGGAGAUUGAAUAUAAAUGAUAUAUCUUUUAAGACCUUGAGCAACGAGAACUCUUAUAAGUUACAAGAGAUAUUCACUAAAGAGGAGUUACAGAAUACUCUUAAAGGACUCCUCAGACCUAAUAACUUUUACUUCAUUCACUUAGAAAUGAAAGAUAAUUUAAAUUUUUUGUUUUUACGUUUUAAAUUAAAAAUAAAAAAAUAAAAAAACAUGGAUAUUACAAUUUGGUUUAUACACAUAGACUAACAAAAUAUUUUCCUAUCAUUAAAAGAUUAAUGAUUUAUAUUUGUUAGGAAGUAUCUCAAAUUCCUAAUUAAUGUAGAUUCUUUUUUGUAAAAAAUAUUAUAUAAAAUAUUUCAUAAGUUAAUAUAUUAUUAUAAUAUUAGAUUUUUUUAUAAAAUAAAGAAAGUUAUCGAAAAUAUCUCUAUAAAUAUUUUAGGUUAUUAGGAGAAAUAGUCCUAGAGAUGGACGGACAUGUAGAGACUAUAAAAAGUGGAUAGAAGUACUUAUUGGGGCGAGAAGGCUCAUAGUAGAGUAUGAAUUCAAAAAGUGAGAAAACAUGAAAUAUUUCGAGAACCCAAUAAAUGUAUCUAGUUCUUUUCUUUGUAAUAUUCUCUAUUAUAUAGCGGAAUAAUUCUCUCAUUCAUGGAUAUAAGCAUAGUUGGUCAAACUAUGUUAAAAUCUCGUGCAUCUUUGUUUCUUGAACUAACAUUAUUGGAAUUGAAGCUUCUGUUAGUACAACAAUAUUCAAUCUCCACCCCUCUCUAAAUCUGAUAAUGACAAUUAAAAUUAAUUUACAUCUUCUCCUAACACCCACUCUUCAUUUACUCAUGAUUUUCCUUAUGAAAAAUUCUUCUAUGGAUGUUGAAUAUGAACUAUUUCCCAAAAAUACAAAAAAUAAAAAAAGUACUAGAUUUUCAUUGUUCUUCAAAUUCUCUCCAUUUUCUUGCCUAAAAAAAAUUAUUUUCUCAUUUCUUGACAGAUGGAAUGUAUCAAAUUCAUAAUUUAAGUAAAUAUUUCUUCCCAUAAACAAUACAACAUAUAAAUAUUUCAUAAUCCAGUAAGUUUAGAUUCUUUAAUACCUUCAUCACAACUUCUUCAAUUGGAAGAUGAUAGUUGCAUGAACACACAUCAACUUGUAUUACAACUUAUUUACUCUUAAGGACCCUGUUAUAACGCAGUGAGGACCAAUUCGUUUGUGCCCUGCCAUCCAAAAAGGGGUCAAAAUUAGGAAAGAUAAAAUUCCAAUAAAAAGGAAAUUUGAAAAUGGUUAGGCCACGGAACAAUUGUAAACCAUCAAGCAAUUGGGAAUAUGUAGCUCUGUGAUUUUCCAUUGCCUUUAAUGGAUUCGCCUCAACCUUUUCUACCGUUAUUCCAUUAGAAUCCCCUUUCCACGGCAUUCUCCCAAUUAGACUAGCCGCACCUACUAUCAACCAGGUCAUUAGCUAUGGCCUUUUAUGAUUAAAAUUUGAAUAAGAAUAUUUUUAUCAUUUGUAAAGUCCUUCAAUCACAUUAGCCACACCUUCUCCAUUCAAAAUGCUGGCAGGCAGUGGCGUAGAAAGUCAUACAAUUAGUGUUAUAUAUAAAAAGAAACUAAAAAGAAUAUUUCACUACUUGCUGACUCCUCCCAAAUGAAGAAAUUACAAAGCCACUUAUUAAAAAUAGUCAUAUAACUAUAUGGGUAUUAAUAUUUAUUCAUAUUUGUGCUUCAUGGAGGCCAUGAUCAAAUUGCCCAUUUCACGAGUAGGCUGCCUUUUAUUAUUUUUAUCUUCUUUCGAGGGACAUAAAGGGCCAACAUUUUGAGAAGGCUCCUCUCACGUUCGCCAUCCAAGUCGAACUUUCCGAACAUGUUAUGUUUGGCAUCCACAAAUAUUCCAAUCUCUUCUUUGCUUGUUCAAUUUUUUCAUAAACAAAGAAUUUUUUACUUUCAAAGAUGGAUCAAAUUAAGCCUAAUUCAACUUAUGCUUAACUUAGCCAAUAGAACCAUAGUAAACUCGUUUUCAAUGGGCUUUUACUCCGGGAUAAGGAUUUUAUUACUUUUAGAAAGAUAUAGAAUACGGAGAAUUUUUCAUGACGGCCAUUAGAGUGUUUGGAUUCUCCGAGAUCCAAAAGGAAGUUGGAAGAUAAAGAAAGAAAAAAUAAUUCAAUAUGAAAGGGAAACUUUCACAUUGGUUACGCUACUAAAUAAUUGAAUGGCAUGGAUUGAGAGAUGUAUAUCUUUUUGUGACUUCCAUUGCUUUGCCCCACUUGCACUCCAUAUUUGAAAAUGAAACUUCAUUUAUUACCGAAUUUGAGUUGAACGACAAGAAUAUUUCACUGCUGGCCAAAUUCCACCUAACCAAAGAAAGCAAUUUUUUCCAUUUUCUUCUUUUUCCUAGUCUCCUUCACAACGACAAACCAAACAUGAAAAUCUUUUGCUUUGUUGUUCUCUUCCUGAAAGUCUCUGCCAUCCACUUAGACCGGCUUAGCUGAGUACGAAUCUUAUUCCACAUGGAACCCAACAGCUUAAUUUAAUAUGAUUCUUAUUCCAUACGCAAAACAAAGGGCGGGACAUUGUAUAAAUUUGAGAGGCCUGUGAAUGGUUUUGGUGCAUUAGCUUCAAGUCUCUAACGAAUCGGAAUGGCCAUUAAGACGUAUUAUCGCUGCCUCUCAGGCAAUGGAGAGCGUGAAAUGACCAUGCAGGAGUUCAAAAAGUGGCUAAAGAAAUAUGAUGCUGACAAGGAUGGGAGAAUAAGCAAGGACGAACUCCGGGACGCGAUUCGGGCCACUGGCGGGUGGUUCACCAGGUGGAAGAGCAGGAAAGGGGUGCGGUCCGCGGAUGUGAAUGGCGACGGCUUCAUCGACGUCCACGAGAUUGAAAACCUUGUGGAGUUUGCGAAGACGCAUUUGCGUGUUAAGAUCGUGGAAUUCUAGAUUUACCAUCCUUUUUUACCACCAAAGCCCAAGGAAUUGAGCUUUCAAAUAAGAAAAAUGAGUGUGGUAUGUAAUUAUAAAAAGGAAAAAGGAAAAAAUUUAUAUGUUUCAUAAGAUAGUGAAAUGAAAUAUCAUGUGUUAUGUUGAUUUUGCUGAAUAAAUUUUCUGUAGAUAAAAAAGAUUUCUUUUAUUUUUAUAUUUUUUUCUAUUUUUCAUUUUCAAUGAAUGAAAAACUUUCAUUUUCAUCCAUCCCUUUCAAAAACUCCUUUCAAAAACUUCAUUCCAUAAUAUUAGUAAUAUUGUUUUUGGUUAUUUGAUAUAAAUUUAUGACGAUGACUUAAAUUUAUUUUUAUUUAAAGUAAAGGUUUAUUAUACUUUACCCUUCAAUCUAUAUUGUAUUUUUCAUAUUACCUCAUCUAAUUUAAAAUGGAGUAAUGUAUCUUACAUAUUUUAUAAUUAUAUGCAAUUUAUAUUUUUGAAGUAAUAGUAUUAUAUUUUUUGACAAAAGGCGCAUUGUGUUCUCCACAUGACCGGUUUAAGUGAGGGCAAAAGGGUAAUUUUAUUUUAAAACUCCUUCUACCCUUCUUUCCCUUAUGCUUAAUCCUCUAAUUAUAAUCGAAACCCUAAAAUCCAAAUGAAGUUAAUACACUCAUCAAAGGGCUGACAUCGAAGAGAAGAUAUGGAGUUCAAAGGUAUGUUUUUUGUCUUGCAAUUUCUUUAAUAACUAAAAAAAUAUCGGCAAAGAGGGUUAGGGUUAAGGUUAGGGUUUUGUUUUGAUGUUUCAAAAAAUUUAGGGAAAAUUUAAGGGAAAUUUGGGGAAACUUAUUUGCAUUUUGUUAUGACAUUUUUUUUCCUUUUAAUUAAUGUGGCAUUAUUGAUUUACCCAAUGUUGAUUUACCUAAUUAAUGUUACUUCAAUUUUAUUUUAUUUUUUCCUUUUAAAUUUUUACUUAUCUAUAUUUAUAAUGUAUUAUAUGAUGUGUAGAAAUUAACGAAGAAGAAAGGAGGUUGAUAUUAGUUUAUUUCUUUGUAGGUUUGCAUAGUUUUCAAUUGUUUUUGCAUCCAUUAAGUGAUUUUUUUUUACUUAAUGAUUGGCGUUUGGUUUAAUUCUGUCUUUGUUUCUAUUGGACAUCUUUAUUUUUCAUUAAUUGCUUCCAUAGUCUCUUACAAUUUUGAUUGCUCUCGGUUUCAUUUGGAUUUGUAUUUUGUUUUGAUAGAAAAUAUUUUUAGACAUACAUUAUAAGGAUUUUCCAUUUUUUUUAUUCAAGGGUCCAGGUUUCUAGAUUGUGAAAGGUUUUCUAAAAAUGUAUUUUCUGUCAAACAAUCAAUGGAACCUUUUCUAACUUCUUGCUUGCCCCGUCCAUUGAACCCCUAAUUGAUAUGUGAUUAUUGUUACAGGAUUUAAUUUGUAAAGACAAAGCAAUUGUAGUUAAUUUUGAUGGCAUCCCCUAGUAAUAGUAUUUCAAAUGAUCUAGUUUACUUGAUAUCAUAGUUCCUAGACGAGGAGAAAUACAAAAAAAAACAAUUAAGUUCUACAUAUCAUUUUUUUCUUCUUCAGUUAUCACCUAAAAUUUUUUACUUACCUAACUAAUGUUGAAAAAUUAUCCUUUUGCCCUCACUUAAAUAGGUCACGUGGAGAGCACAUGUACCUUUCAUCCAAAAAUGUAAUACCGUCACUCCAAAAAUAUACAUUGAAUGUAAUUAUAAAGUAUGGAUAAUACAUUACUCGAUUUUAAACUUGAUGGGACAAUGUGAAAAAAAACGGUAUAGGUUUGAGGGUAAAGUGUAAUAAACCCUUAAAACAAUUAUUGUUGUAUGUAUGCAUAAUUAAUAUAUAUUAAGUUUUAUUAUAGAAACCCAUUUUUAAAAAAAAUUACAAAAAGAAAAUAUAAGAUUAAAAAAAUAAAAUAUAGAAUUCAACCUUUUAAAGUGCUAUUAGCUUUUUAAAUUAAAAAUAAAAAUUUUUCAAACUAUAUAAAUUUUAAAUAAUUUUACUAUAUUUUAUUUUCAUUAUAAUUAAACAAGAAAAUGUUACAUAAUUUUUUAUUAUUAUUUCAGUAGUUUUUCAAUUCGGUUUUAAGAUUAAAUCAUAAUAGAUUAAAAUUGCAGUGUUUUUAGUGAAAGUGUUUUUCAAACAAUCACCUAUCAAGUGAUUCUUCAAAAAAAUAUUACAAAUGAUUUUCAACACGUUUUUUCAAAUUUUUAGAAGUAUUUUUUAAAUUUUACCAAACACCUAAUUUUUUUUCAAAAACAUUUUUAAAGCUAAAAGAGCUUCUUAGAAUCGCUACCUAACAAACUUUAAAAGUGUGCUUGAUAGUGACUUUAAAAAACAUUUUUAAUAUUUCUAAUACUUGAAAAUUUUAAUAUUUUAAAUAUUAAAAAUGUUAAAAACACUUUCUAAAAUCAACAUCAAAUAGAAGAAUGCAUUUAGUAGCAAUUCUAUAAUACGUUUAUAAUCUUUCUAAUACUUGAAUGAUAAAAAAUUUCAAAUAUUAAAAAUGUUAUAAACGUUUCUUAAAAUCACUAUCAAACGAGCUCUAGAUUAAAUUAAUUAUGUCAUUUAUAAAAAUAAUAAAAUAAGGAUACUUUAAUCAUCAUCCUUGAAUAGAAGUAAUUAAUCUACUGAAAUGAAAUAAAACUUGUUUUAAUCUUUUUGAAGUGAAAAAGCAAAGAAUUAUACAAAAAAUUUCAAAUAUUUUGAUCCUGUUACAUCUUUUCCCAACUUCUCUCCUAUUCUUUCUUUGGUUGGCCCCAAGUGGGGGCUAUGAGAAAUAACUGCAUGUGAAAACAGUCAUAUAUUAAUGCUUUCAGGGCCUAUUUUCCCAUAAAAUUCAAAUAAAUGCUUACACAGAAAAUUUGCAGUGUUCAUGGAAUCACAUGAACACAGUAUACACAUUUACAAAAUUAGAACUAUGAUUCUGAAGCAGGGUACAGCUGCAGCGGACCUACAUCUUUGUAGACAAUCUAUAGCCAACUUCUUUCUCAGUGCCAGUGAAGAACUUUUGCUGUUAAAAGCUGCAGCCACAGACAAGUGUAAACCUGUAUUAUGUUGAAAGGAGGAUUUCUAUUGAACAUGCUCACUGCUGGUCAAUUCUGAGAUUUGUACCAGUGACCUGAAACCAAAUCUUGCCUUCAACAAUACUGGGGCUAUAGCUGUGGAGAGCGCUAUGCUCUUUGCUAAACUUCAAAGGACCCCAAAAUUUCCAUGCCGAGCGGAAAUCAGAUUUACCUGAAUAGUUCCAGAACAAGCAUACUCGAAAACUGGUCCAUCUCUGAAUCCAGAGGAUUGUGCGAUAAUUUCCUGCUGACUUCUUCAAAUAUCAACAAUGGGAGGUGGCAGUCUCCAGUAGUUCCAUGAAUUAAAAUCCUCCUGGAAUUAAGGGAAAGAAAAGGUUGGACAAAAAUAAGAAUAACUAGACCUGGGAAUUCAGAAAAUUUGCUUGAAUGGAUGGGACACACAAGGCUAGCUCAGCUGGUCCCAAGUCUGGAAGGAGGUCAUAGGAGAUAGACAAGCAAUGUAAAACAUACAGUUUAACCUUAUUGAUGGAAAAGGGCAGCUAGAUCAAAACCUGCUCAGAAGAGGAUGUGGAUGGAAACAUGCCAUUCACAAGAGUGUGAAGAGAAGUAUAUGAUUUUGUGUCCACACGGCGGUUCACAGCAACCUCGCCCUGCAGACUCAAAAUGGUCAGAAGAGAAGUUUUCACAAAUUAUACCAGUGCACAUAGUUUUCUGUUACACCUGUAUAGAAGUCUGCAGGUUACCUUAGGAUUAAUGAUGAAUAUUUUGCCUUUUGGAAUUCCAACCUUAAGGUAGCUAAACUCAUCAGUGUCCCGGUUUCCAAAACCAGCAUAGAAUGGAUUGCAAUCAGAAGGAAAUAAUGCCUUGAUAUCCUGAAAAUUGGGGAACUAAAAGCAUUAUUAGCUACCUUUUUUCAUCCUUAACCUUCCACUCAUCCAACAAAUGAUCCGGGCAUGCACAAAGACCAUACACUGAUGAAUUAUCAAGAGAAUCCAAAAAAACCCCCUUUGGUUAUUUCCAUGAUUGACAGCACAUUAAAUCAAUUAGUGAAUCUUUUGAAGACAUUUGGGCAUCCCACCAAAAUGGACGAGUCUGUUGUCUUUUAGAUAGCAUUUUAAUAUAUAAAUUUAUCAGUGUAGUUGCAUUUUUAUUACCAAUUCAUUCAAAGCAAUAAACAAGAAUCCAAAUCGUUUUAAAUAUAUCCAAAAAAAAAAUCUAAAUUGUGUUAUGAGGGAGGAAGAACAUGGGAGACAGAAAGGGCAUUUCAACAUCCUGUGAAAACCAAUCAUUCUAUCACCUUUUAAGAUGUCAUUUCAAUAUGCAAAUUGGAGGGUAACAAAGUCAUGUUACCAUAAUCACCAAUUAUAACAGAAACAAGAUCAUCUGUCAAAACCUAGAAUAUCCUUUCUCUAAAAUAUUGCCAAGAAAAAUUAUAGGCUAUUAGAUCUUAGUGUAUGCACUUCAAAUAGAAUGUAGGACACAAUGGGUCCAUAUGAUUUGCAUGGGACACCCAAAAUGCCUUUAAUUCUCCUACUAGCAGCACAGAUCUCAAAUAUGAUAAGGGUCAAAACAACAAAUAGGAAAUACUACAUCAGAGUGGUGAAAAUAUAUUAGAUAUAUCUAGAUACAUUUCUAAUAGUUGGGAACUAACCUCCAAGCAAGCAAUCUUGAAUUCAUGAGGAGCUCUUCUAAUAACUGAGGAAAAUAAGAGGUAAGUGAAUUCUCUCAGAACAUACAGCAAAACAAAAAAACAUAAGAAAAGAAAAGAAAUGAGCAGUGACAUAAAUAAAUUUCAAGAUAUGUUCACAGAGCUGGUAAGCUCCAUUCAAACAUUAAAUAUGUGCAGUUUGAAUGAUUAUAAACAGUUAGCACUAGUAUAGUGCACACAAUAAGACACUCCAGGUAAGUUUAGUGAUUCUAACAGGCUCAUCACAUUUAGCCAAUCUGUCCAUUUGCAUGUAGAGGAAAGUUUACCGCCACAUUAUUGAUCAGGUGGUUUGCCAAGAUAAGGAAUUAUCUCAGGAUUUGUGCAGCAUUGGCAAACCCUAAGGACAAAUAUGAUGCUUCCAUUUUUUUUUUCUUUUUUUUUUUUUUCUUUUUUUGAAUAAGCAAAAACUAAUUCAGUACCACCUAUCAAAAGGAGCACAACAAAGUAAAUGGGUCGCAUAUAACGGUGCCAAAGGCAAAAGAAAAAAUAGAGAAAAAGCAGUAAACCCUUUCCAUACAAAGUUAAUGGCAGAUUGAUAAAUAAAUGGAAUUUAUGUGUGAGAUCUGAGAAACAGUGCAUAUACACCAAAUACCUUCUCGAAAGAGAGAAGGAAAAAGUCCAUCAGGGGAAAUAACAACUGGCCCAUCUGGCAAAGCCUUUCCAUCCUGAAAAUAUGAAAAAUGAUAUUCUUUAAAAGAAAGGAAUAAAUAAUAAAAUAAAUAAAACAUUCAGGGUUCCUAAAUUUUGAUUUCUCACUUCAAAUCAAGAAGUAAAAACAAUUCUCCCUCACCUGCUUAAGAUUGAAUAAAAAUUGCCUAGUGUGAUAGGCCUGAGAAAUUGCUCGUGCACUAAGGAAAAGCAAUUGAUAUCCAUUUUCCUGCAAAACAUGCAAGAAUAGAAUAGGUUUUUGAAAGACAAAUUCUGUUGUAACUUGUCAUGAAUUAUGUUGUAUACAAUGAAUAGAAACUGCAUACCAAAACCAGAAGCAAAAGGGAAAUAAUGAGUAAAAAAAAAUCAUAGCCAAUAGCACAAAUUCCAUUUGAGGAAUGAUGGUUACCAUACAACUGAACAGUUUUCUAGGUAAAAAGUGGGACCUGUCCAUUAGAUUAUCUAUGUGCACUAAAGAAGGAAAUUUGCAAUAUAAAAUACUUCCUUAAGUGAUAAACAUGAUUUGAAAAUUUUCCUAAUUAUAAGAACAUAUGAGGAAACACAACAAACCUUAAUAGCAGAAAAUAGAUGUGCUACACCUGUCUGUGACCAAUCUACUCCAACCAUAGGCAUGAACUGCCCUAGAACAUCUGACCUGUAAUAAGAAUGCAAGACAAAAGGAGUCAGAUGGGUCCAAGCAAGAAUAUAUGAUCUACUGGUGCUUGUAUCAACCAAACUAUAAUAGAAGUGAAAUUCAAUCCAAAAACAUCUAACAUACAAGGUAUCAAUUUUUAACCUUAGAAAAAGAUUUGAGUACCCUUACUUGGUAAUUGUCCCAUCAACAUCUGAGAUUACUAUGCGAGUGUUCCAUUUCCACAAAUAAAUGCUGGCAUCAACCUGUUAACAAGUAUUUCAAUAAAGCAUGGUAACAAGGAAAAACAGAGAGGAAAAGAUGUGUGUGUGUGUGAGAGAGAGAGAGAGCUAGAAAAAGAAAUUGAAAAAUGAAGCAACAAGUGACCUGCUGCUCCCCCAGCAUUGCAGUUGAGAAUGUAAAGGUUAUCGUAUUCCUUCCUUCCUUCAGAUUCAAGGAUGCCAGCUGUUCAGACGUUGGAGUAAUUACUCGUACCUUCUUUUUUGUCAGCUUGGGUUUACACACAUUAUCAUUCCCAUCUGUGCCAGCAGUCAUCUCUGAAGCAUUCUCAGCAUCAGAUUGUCUGGUGUUAUUGAUAACUGGCUGGACAGAUGAGAUGGCUCUUGAUCUUCUAAAAGGCCAAAGCCUCCAGCUUCCACCAGAGGCAACAAUGGCUUUCGCUGGAUCCCCUUCAAGAGUUUUCUCAACUUGGUCAACAGCUAUCAUGCCUUUCAAUUCAAGUAUUUGUUCCUUUCCCAAUGAAAGCAUUCCUAAAACAAUAGGUGCAGCUGCAUCCCAUGGGAAGUAAUGGCCACUAAUUCUGACGACAAGGUUAUCUUUUUUCAACACAUCAGGACCCAGAGAGGCAAAUUUAUCCAUAUCCAAUUUCUCAGCAUCAAAGGCCUGAGAAGCAGCAGCAGCCCCCAUCCCUUCAUAUAACAAAUGUUUGCAAAGAGAUAUUUCUGCAGUAAAGUACAGGACAUAAGUGACUUUGUGAAGUUCAUAGCUUCAGGGAGUGUUGUGCACAGGAUACUUCUCCACACGUCUAUUGUUCAAAGUGGAGUUAUUAAUAAAGAAAACAGAGUCAUCCCAUAAUUGGAGUUAUCAUCACAAAUGUCAUAAAAGAAAUGGAACUCACAUCAUUUAUUGAAAUCGAAAAAAGAAAUCAUCUUUACAUACUAUGAGAAAUAAAACUGACUUAAUUUCAGAUCUUACAUAAAAGUAAUGUGAUUGAUUUCAUUUCAGUAUGCCAAACACCUUGAAAUUAUGUAAAUCCUUGAAAUAUAAAUGAGAAAAUAGUCAAUUUCUCUUACCAACAGCAGGGUCUGCAAGAACAUUUAUGAGCUCCCUUGAAAUUUGAGUAUCCUCAAGUGAAGGCUGUUCUUGUACUAAUAUGUGUUUAUUGUCUGCAUUCAACUUUGUUAAGGUUGAGAUGUUGUUCCUAAGCAAUGCCCAUCCCAAGGAUUUGGAAUUUGAAUCCAGAGAAAGGCUUAUAGGAUGAUGAAGUUUGUGUGCAUCCAGAUCAUCACCAAGAGGGCCCAUAUUAGGUAAAGAUUCGGCCAGCCGCUCAACUUCCUCACAAGUGACCUUGAUACUUGAAGGAAUACUAAUAGAACUUGAUACUACCCUUGACUUAUCUAUCAAGUUGUCCAAAUCAUUUGGUGGAUUCUCUUGAACAGAGCUGUCUGGAGAUGAAUAUGACACAUAAUUUGCAUCAAAUAAAUCUUCUACUGCUUCAUUGCUAUCCAGUUUAAGUGAGGGACAGUUUUCUUUCUCCACAGGAUCCAGAGAAAUCAAGUCCAAUGAUCGAACUUCAGAAUGCUUGAAAUCAUCGAGGUCACUGAAAGGGAAUUGUUCGUCAUCUGAACUCUCUGGUGGCGAAAUUCUUAUCACUUUUGUUGGGACAUAAUCACCAUCAAACUCUUGAGAAUCUCCAAUAGACUCCAAAGAACGUUGGAGUUCACUGUUUUUUUUUUCAUCCCUGAUAUUUUCCUUACAUUGGACUUGAUGACCUGAAUCACUGAAACUGGAAAUGGUGAAACUGCCAUGUGACAUGGUUUCUUCAACUGAAUUGUCUACUCUGACCAUUUCAGUAUAGGAUUCCUGCAUCACGAGUGGCUCUUCAAGACCUGCCUCACCAUUGGCAGGCAUGCAAGAAUAAGAUAGACUACCAUGUUGAGAAUGAUUUUCAGGAACCUUUUUGGCUUCUGACUUAAUAUCCUCAGCAAGUCUCUCGGUAACUGUAUCCUGAUGAAUAAUUUCUAAUACCUGAGUCUUCAAGAAAAUUAGAAGCCAUUUAGAAUAUAUCAAUUGAAGAUAGGGAUUCAACUACAACUUAUUUCUAACAGAGUUCAUGGAAGUUCUCACUUUCAAGAAUCUUUGCAUUAUUAAAGAAGUUUCAACUAUCAUUAUCUCCUAAAAAUCCUAGAUUGUUUGAAGAUACUUUUGCCAGUAAUACCAGAUUCUAGUAGAGAGUUUACCUCAGAUAUUAGCUCAGAAGUCUCAUGUAGAGUUUUGUCAUGAACAUGAACUUCCCCACUUCCUCCACAGGCAAGGUACAGAAUCUCUUGGGUUUCUUUGAUAGAAUCAUCUAACCCUACUGUUGAGCUACCUGAUGUUUCACAAUAUAUAAAGGAUUGAACUCCGUCCUGUUCAUUCUCCUCCUCCAAAACAUCAUGACCUGAUAAAACAGCAUCCCUUUCAUCAAAUGCCUCUUCUUCAUUGAACUGCUUGCAAGGACUGACUUCAAGCUCCGCAGUCUGUGGAAUUUGUGACUCAGAACCGGUGAUGCUAGAGGUGACACUUUUCACAUUAUCAUGAUGAUCAGCAUCUCCUACACUGACUUCAUUAAUCACUCUUAAUAUUUCAGAAAGCUCCUGUGUUUCUCCCAAAUCAGUUUCAUUUAAAGAAGAUGUUUCAACAGGGGUGCCUAAGCAUGACAUUUCUAAACCAGUUUCCCCAACAGAACAUUCUGAAUUAUGAAAUCCAGAUUGAGAAUUGUUGCUCAUUUCCCCAUCGCAGAAACCAUUUUCUUCCUGUAACUGGGAAGGGUUUGAACCAUUUUCCGUGUCCUCAUUCACACAUAAGGCUGUCUGGCUUUUUCCAUCAUUAUCAGCCUCAGUGUCCAACCUAUCUUCACCAGAAAUUUGUGAAGCUUUAUCUUUCUUUGGCUUCUUGGUGGCAAGACUGGUAGUCCACCUGACCUCCAAGAGGUUAGCCGCAAUUUCCGCCCUCUCCAAUGAACUUACCCUGGUCACGUCAGCACCACUUUCCUUCUCCCUAAAACUCUCCUGCUUCAUUGACUUUCGUCCAAAAACAAGCCCCAAAAAUCGGCCCCGCCGGGAGGUAGUCCUAGGCACAAUCUUUCCAGUGCUCAAAUCAAUAGGAGCAACUGGCUUCUGUCCAUUUGCAUCAAAAUUGCAACUUUUGGACUUCAUAGGCCUCCUAUCAUUGGAUUCCUCAUCCCUCUCAUCCCCAGAAGAUAGGGAGGAAGGGUACAACAUGGAUUCCCCUUCUUCGACAUCCACCUCCUUGAGAAAGAAGGCUUCCCCCUUAUGAUCCAAAUACAUGUGGAAAUUGGCUUCGACUCCAUUAACACUUAUGUUAACUACCUUUUCCCUCGUCUUCAAAACCCCUUGAAAUUUGCCAAAUCGAACAUACCAGGGCGAAGACUUAAAACUCCCAUCUUGCUGUUCAACAACGAUAAUGUCCACUGCCCCACCAAAUGGAUGAAAAGGGCCAGAAACGGUGUAGACGCCCCGAGAUAUGUAGCUACUCAGUCUCUCCACCGCAUACAUCCUCCGAAAAUUCAAAUUCCCAGACCACCUUGAUCACGAAAUCUCAAAAUCCCAUCCAAUUAAGAAACCAAUUGAUCUCUAUAUAACUGCUUUCUAGUUCGAAACUGUCACCUUUUAAAUCAGGGGCCUUUAAAACCGCUGUAAUUUCAUCCAAAAAUUCCAAUCUAGGACGAACCCAGAUCACAAAAUCUAAAAAUCCAAUUGAUCACCCCGCGAAAACUAUGAGGGCAGUUCGCUCGAAAGAAACACAUAACUCAGGCAAAACAAGAGUCAAAACUGAUCAAAACCAAUUAGGCAAAAAGAAAAACCCAAAUUGAUGAGAUUGUUGAAUUGCCCAGCAACUAAAUCCAGAAACAAACGAGAAAAUCCUGAAGAGAAAGCAAACCCAGCUCAGAAACUCCCCACUUUGAAAGACAGCCCAUAUGGAAAAGGCCUUUCAACCACCCGUAAUAAAAACGAAGCGCGAAGAACAGUUGGGGUCGAUAAAAGCAUAUUCGCAUUAAAUUAUUCGAAUGUGCCAAACCCGUCAUCCACUAAAUCCAAAACGAAACGACAUCGUAUAGCGUUUCGGAUAUGAUAGAAGGAUUCAGGAAAGAAAAUUCCACAAAACAAAAAAGGGUUGGAGGCAUUGAUAGAUACAAGUAACCUGGGAGAGAAGAAAGCUGGGUUUACGAGCAACGGCCCAAACAGUUUUCGCGAUCUCUGUAGACAGCGCGAGAAAGAGAGGAGAGAGAAGAAAGAAGGUGAGAUUUAGAUGUUUUUCUAGGAAAUAUCGACGGGAGAGAGGGAGAGGCGACACGUAAGCAAUGUUAUGAGAAUGGUGUCUAGUUAGGUAUGCAGUUUUAUUAGGUGGGCCAGGCAGCUCCCUGCUUUGUACAAUCUUCAUCAAAGAUGGUCUGGAACAUGGACUCGCGUGGCCUCCUCCCCACCCUUUUACCCCCCAGUUCCACCUCAUCCCCCCCACCUGAACUUUGCUGUUGGGUUGUGUGGAGUUCAAUUUCAACCACUCUUUUCAUGAUCGGAUAGAACAUUAAACCAAAAAAAAGUUAUCGUAUUUAGAUCGGACUGAAGUUUCAACGCAAUCGAAUCGAUCAUAUAAUAAAUAUAUAUUUUAUAUAUUAUUAAAAUUAAUAAACCUUACCCAAAUUUUUUUAUCAAAUUAUAAAUAAAAAUAACAAUUUUAAUUACCAUUCAUCAAUAAAAAAUAUAUCAUCAAACACCAUAAUAAUUUAAACAAUCAAACCUAAAUUUUACUUUAAAAUAAAAAUUUAUUUAAAAUUUAAAAAUUAGAAAUUUAGAAUUAUUUAAAAAGGGAACACAAUGUUUAAUUUAUUGAUUGUUUUCAAAAAUUUAUUGUAUUUUCUAAUAUUUUUUAAUGAUUUUAUUAAUUUAUUUAAACUCAAAUUAGAUAUUUUAAAAAUCAAAAUAAAAUAAAAAUAAACUAAUAAAGUAAAUAAAUAUAUAAAAUCUAAACAAAUGAUUCAAUUAUUUAAAUGAAAUUUCGAUGAAUAAUGAGAUUCUACUUCAAUAAAUUGAGAUAAAAUAAAAUUAUAAAUAUUAAAUAUUAAAAAAAAUUUGCAAGAUUCCAAAGUCUGAGAUUUCAUAUUUGGAAUGUAGUGGGCAUGAGAGGCGGCAACAACUCCAACAUGGUUACUGGGUGGAGAGGGAGCAGACAAGGGGGGAGGGGGGCUAGGAUUGCUAGGAGAGGGGGGAGGGUUAAAAAAAAGUUUAUAUAAAGAUAAAAAUGACAUUGUUUUGAUGGAAAAAAUAAAAAAUAAAAUAAAAAUUAUGAAUAGUUGGAUUUAAAAAAAACCAUCUGAUUCAAUCAAUUUGAAGCCGGUUCAAUUUUUGGAAGGUUCAAAUAAUCAAAUCGAAUCAGAAUAGUGAUCAAUCAAUUCAAUCCAAUUUUAAAAAUCGUGAUUUCAACUGAAAGCUAAAUUUGAUUUUUCAAGUGACAUGUCAGGAUAUUGGCAAAGUCACAUAUGAAUCUUUUCUCAAUUAGACAAAAAUUGUAUAGGUGAAGCUUUGGAUUCAUAUAGAGAGAGGAUAGGUGAAAGCAUAACAGCGUGUCAACUUUGAUCAUGAUUAUGAUGGGAAAUGUGGGGUUAAAGUAAUACGUAGAAACGUCCAAUAAUUCAGCUUAUGCAUACUCCAGCCUCUGGGGACCACUACAAGAUGGUUGGAUGUGUACAUGUGACGAGUUCACUCCCCCCCUACAAAACUAAAAUCCCAUUCAAUUUUUCCUUCCACUACCCAAGUCGUUUUCUGCCCUACUAUUCAUUAGUGCACUUCCCUUCCUUCGUGUAUUCCACAUCUGAAUUUUGCUUCGGCUGUAGUUUCUUUUCACGCGUCAUUGUCAUAUUUUUAAUUAUUGGUUUUAUUUUUUAAAAAAUAUUACAGUUAAAUGUACGGUUUGCCAUGUUGGACUUGGAUAAGGGCUUGGGUUUUUGGGUUUGGGGGUCUGUUACAGAAACACGGGCCGCAGCUAGGUACAGGCUGUACAGCUAUGGUGAGGGCGAUCGCUCCGUCCACCAUUCCAAGGGCCUUCCUAAAAAGACUGGCCGUUGGGAGUGGUUGGGGCGCACGUGGCAUGUCUUAUCUUAUCUUAAACGUUUUAAUGUUCAUUGAAUUCUCCUUUUGUUCCUGGAAAUUCAUUUAAUUUUGGGAAAGAUAUUUUUCUAGCCCAAAAUUCAUACUGGGAUCGAGCCGAUCCGCCCAAGGUAAGCUGGGUGGGAGGAUUUUAGGCCCAAAUGUACAAAACACCGGAUAUCAGACUCGUCCAGCCCAACACAAAGCCCUAGGGCGUGCACUGCUGGAUAAACUGUCAAAGUUACAAAUAGUGGGCCGUAGAGUAUAGCCUGCCUGGGUUAAUAAGUUGAGCAGAGAGCGACACACGUUACCCAUCCUCAACCAGGCCGAGUUUGCCCAGCCACCGAGGACCUCAUUCCUACAGAUGGAUGCAUUUCUCAUUCGAUUGGAGAAGUUGGAUUCAAUAAUUAUUGUUCGCCAUUUAUAUAAUCGGAUUCUGCAGUUAAAGGAAGUGUGCAAAGAUUCACAGGGAAGCCAAGAUUGUAAGAUUUUUCCAUCUCUAAAUACGCGAAUUAGGGUUUUUCGUAAUUUCAAACCUAUUUUACUUAGGGCUCGUUUGAUUGCGUUUCGUAUUUUUCUCCAUUUUCCUGUGGAAUCAUUAAAAGCAGCGUGAAAAUCUGCUUUAAAGAAUACGAGAAAAUUGACAACACACUUUGGCGGUGAGAGCGAACGUAUGAAUGGCGGUGUGGUGGUGAUGGCGAUGCCAUAUGGUGGUCCCCUUGACGAGUAAAUCUGAAUGGAUUUGCCUCACGAGGAGAUGUAUCAUGCUCGACUCGAGUACUUUUUGUUUUUUUAUGCUUUUCAUUUAAUACUCGCAAACACAUACAUAGACAAAUUCAAGCAUGCUUGACCAGUUGUUGUAAAUAUCCUAUGUAUUUGGGCUUGCAUUCUCUGGAUUUUUCUGGCCAAAUUAUUAAAUCUCCCUAUCUUCCUUAAAACUAUGUCAAUUGUGGCUUGAAAGUUUAGAAAUUUCAAAUUCAGCGUCACAUAUUCAGAGCUGCAUAUAAUUAUUAGAAUGAAGUCUACUGUUCUGCCUUACUAUUAGAUCUUUGUCUGUUUAGUUCUGACAAAUUAUGAGAGAAAAGAAAAAGACCGAAUUAGAAGAAAAAGGGAAGGAAGAUAAAAUAGAAGUUUUGAGUUUGUCGGAAUAUCCUCCGUUCUUCCUUGAGUUAUUUUCAUGUUUUUCUUUUUAAACUGAAAAUCAAAACUAGAAGUUUCAAGGUAUAAAUUCCCCUCUCCCCAUUUUCACAGUGUUUUCUUUUUGUUUCUACCAGAGCCAAAUCACAAAUUGUUAUCUUUCUUAUUUCUUUCCUUUACUCUUAUUGCUUUCAAGAUCCAAUUGCAAAUUGGUUUGGGCCUGUUGGACAACAUUUUCAAAAAUUGUUUUUUAGAAAUAUUCUUGGAAACAAUUCUCAAUUGUUUUCAAGAAUAAAACUCCGAUUGGUAUCUCGAAUAUGAAAAACAAUUUUCUCAACUUAUUCUUCAUAAAGAUACUGUACAUAACGUAUAAUGCGGAAGUUUUCAAAGUAUUAUCUAUCUUUUUAAUUGUUACUCAAGAAACAACUGAAAAUACCUUAAAAUUGUCCUAAAAAACGACUUAUUUUCAAAGUAGUUUCUUAAAAAAAAACUAUUUUUUUGUCAAAAGUUUAUCAAAGGUGUUUUCUAAGUUAGAAGAAUAGAAAAUUAUUUUUAAGAACAGUUACCAGAUAAGAAUAUUCCAAAUGUGGAUUUCUUGUUAGAAUUUAAUCUUCUUGAGAUUACUGGAAUUUGAUAUAUAGUGAAUUAUAACAUAUGGAAGUGUCUUCUUAAAUCACUGCCAUAUUUCCUAAUUAUUCUCAUUCAAUAUUCUGCAUAUGGGGCACUGGCAUUUGUCCUAACUUGAAACUAAUUGUUAACAGUGAACGCACGCAAGCCUUAAUCGUUCCCUUUGUCAUACCUAAUAUCCAGGGUUGAUACUGGCAGUAUUUGUUAUCCUUGUGGCUCUCUUAUAUAAUCCUUGUCGGCAAACAGUUAAACCUUAUUUAUCUCUAAAAUUCAAAUCUUCGGGACCUUUUGACAGAUUUGCAUGGCAACACCUUGCCAGACCUUUUUAUUAAAAAAAUAAUUCAAUAAUAAUAUAAUUGUAAUUAUACUAGUUAUAGUAAUUAAAAGCAUGGUUUUUUGUCUUUCCUUGCAUCUAUCAUCUUUAUAUGCAGAUUAGUUAAAACUUAGGAUGAUAAAGCUACUUUAUGAAGACUUUCUUUUGGAUGGCAUAACUUUCCUUGGUAUAUGCAUAUUGCCAUCUCUUUGUGUUAAGUUCCUUGGUUACACUAAACAGAGGAUGUGCAUAUUCUACACAAAAGCCAAUCUCACAAGGAACUGCUAAUUUUGCUUUGAAAGUUCAAAAUCUGUACCACUGGUUUCCAAAUAUGCAUAUUUCUUUACAAAUUUUCCAGUUCGAGCAAGGAUAUUUAUAUUUGGUUUCUACAUAUCAUGGUGCAUAUGACCCUACUGUUCAGAAGCAAAAUCUAUCCCUUGAAUGAGGAUAAAUAAUGUUACUCUGUUGUCAGACUGCUAACAUUUUCCUAGAAAGUAAAAGGUAUAUUAACCUUUAUUCCUUUGUUCCUACUCUCCCAACAAGUGUGUUUUUAUUUUUAUUAUAUAGUUAAUAUCUAGCGUAUCUGAAUGACACGACUUUCUUCAAGACUGGAGUUCAACUGUGAACCUGCAUCAGAUGUGUGAGCAACCAACCACACAUUCACAGGAUAAUCCUUUGGAAUUGCCCCACAUCAUAAAAAGGCAAAUGGCCUGCAUGUGACCACUUAAGUUGACUGAGGAUCACGUGUGAGCCAUGUGGUAGCGUGUUUUAUGUUUUCUUAUUAAAUGACCCUCUUAACCUUGACUACAAUUUUUUCAUGCGAAUGGUAUGCCAUAUUCUUAGCAUAGGAAGAAAGAAGUUGGGAACAACUUUAGUUAUCUAGUAAUAGGGAAAAAAUUUAAUCAAAUGUGUGUUGCUGAAGCCAUGUUCUGAGAUUUUUCUCUUUCUUUUGGAGAUUAAAUGUGAAAGAAGUGCAAUAAGAGAACAGAUGGUAUGCAUUUGGCAAGGUCAGAAGCUGCAAGGAUGAGAGGGAAAAUGUGGAAUAGAAUGAAAUAGAUUACUUGGUAACCAAACUUGGAGAUAAAUUUGCUUUUCUUGUUCUCACAAGUAUUUGUAUGUGAGUGACUAUCUGUUAAAAACCUUGACUGCACUGCAAUGAUGAAGGUUUUGUAGAGAAAUGCUGUUUUCCUUACUUUGUCUUCUAUUAAUGUGCAUCCUUUUAAAGUUCAUUUGAUAAGGGCAUUCGUUUUCUUCCUGCAAUUUGUUUGCCAUAGGAUGGACUAGUUUCAAAUUAACUCUUUAGUCUAUAGCAUAUUUCCCUAAACUGCCUCUGGUUCUUAUGUUUCAUGGAAGAUGCUUGUUACUUGAUCAAUUGUGAUUCUUUCUUCAUAAGUACCCUAAUUGUAUUGUCUCAUUAAUCCAUAUGAAUUUAUUUCCUUUUUCUUUCUUUAUUUUACUUGUCAUUGGAUAAUCUCCUGCUACUUGUUAUUUUGAUUCAUUAUGGCAAUCUGAAAAAGGAUAAGAACACUGGAACCAUCUUACUUCUACAGCAUUUUGUGUUAACUCUGUUUAUUAGUGUUAUAAUAUGGACAUAUGUACAUCAUUUGUAGGUCUGUCCAAAUGGGCAUGUUCUCCUUGCACCUGUAGUUUGUUACAGCUUGGGUGAGGCCUGUGAAAAAGUUCUUUUGGUGUUCAAAUAUUAGCAGUCUGUACCAAUAUCCUCUUACUCUGUCAUUAAAGCACCACCUUCCAUUCCUUUACCAGCAUCUAGCCUGCCAAGACAAACUCUUCCAAACUUUUUAAAUUCAAUAUUUUCUGAAAAUGUGGAAACUAAGGGUACGUCUAUUAACAUUCUUGAAGAUAGUUAUCAAAAACAAGGGACUGUUUGAAAUUGGUCUUGAAAACAAUUUUGUGUUCUUUAGAACAAAAGACAGGUUUCUAAAGAAACACGUUUGGGCAAAUUUUUAUGACAAAACAGUUUUUUUAGAAUUUGUUCCGAAAACAAACUGAUUUUUAAAAUAAUAAUUUUCUUUUGAGAAUUUGUUCUAAAAACAAGCUGCUGUUUAUGAUAAAUUUGAGAUCUUUUUCAGUUGCAUUUUUGUAAAGUGUUGUGAAAAAUAAUUGAAAACAGAGAUAAUAUUUUGAAAACUUUUGCAUUGUAAGUGUAUCGCAUUUCAUGGAAAGUAAGUUGAGAAAAUUGUUUGUAGUUCCCAAAUAGAAUUUUGUUCAUAAAAACAAUUGAAAACUAUUUUUAAGAACAAUUGUCAAAAAUUGUUAUUUGAGAACUAUUUUUAAACACGUCACUAAAUGGACCCAAAGACAGUGUAAAAAAUAUGGAAGAAUUGAAAACAAAAAGUUGCAGCCACCGGUCCUCCAUAUAUCAAAGUGAUCUUGCGUCUUUUGAGUCCCCACCUAAAUGAUUGAUGGAUGAAGGGUAUACCACACAUUGGCUCUACUUGUUGUGUAAUGUUGACCACUGUUUGGUAUUUGAAUUUGGUUUUCAAGUUACCCACACAACACUUGGGCUAGGGAUUUUUAUUUUUAUUUUUUGCCUAAAAAAAUGAAGAUAUUGUUUGUGGAUCAUACAGUUGUUGAAGGCAACUCUUAUCCCGUGAUAAUUGUGAAUUUUUCUGUCAAUUUCAUUCUUUUCAUAUUUUCUUGGCUGUGUUGAGGAAAAGAUAUUAUCUUAUGCUUUCAAGAUUAGGACUGAUCAUCUAUUAUUGUUUGUAGUGGACAUGAUUGCUUAGACUUCUAAUAUUGAGAUAUGGUUUUCAGUGACCCCAACAGCCAUGAGCCCUUUUGUGGGGCUUCUUUGGUGGUUGAAGAUGGAUUUAAUUAUCAAUUGUGAUGCUUUUGAUAGGAAUUGGGCAUUGCAUCUGCGGUCUAUAGAUUGUUCAACUGUGUUUGCACACAUUCCCAUGGAGCAUCAUUUUAACUGGACUGGUGCUUGAUUAUUGUGCUCUUUUUCUCUUCUUGUGGCUUUAGUUUGAUGGUUAAAAAGAUUGAAACCACUUUUGUGUGGUGUAGGGAGGGCGAUGCAUGCAUAAUUAUAAAGAUGGUCAAGGGAUAGGGAAAAAAAAUAGCCACUCAGUCGAUUGCCCACAUCAUUACUAAGUUUAUCAUUAUCUGGUUUUAAACUAAAAAGCAUAGCUCUCAAUAACUCAUGCUAUUGAUAUGUCAAGGUAGAUCAAAGUACCUUCUGCAUUAUUGUCACCAUUCAUUGUUGUUGUACUUGGUCUUUUAUAAAAUCCCAUAGCCAUCAACUCACUGAGACCCACAGCCAUUAAGCCCCAUUGACACCAUCACCUUUUAACUUGCCCGUCCCACGACCAGGAAUGGCUUGGGUCCUUUUUCAUAGCCUUUUCCCGUGGGGGGUGGGGACUAAAGGUUAUGUUACUCUUUUCUUUUUAGCUCUACUUUUCUCUUGUUAAUUAUCUAGUUGCAGUCAGUACUUUAGAAACUAGAUGCAAAGUGGAUGGCUUACCUCACCUCAUUUUAUAGUUAAGAUUCUUUUUAACAUUGAUCGGUCGAUGAUCCUUCCUCAAAUUUUAAGUGUUAUUUUGAAGGCCUUUCAAUAACAUGGGUUUCUGUUCUCUGGACAGCAGAUGGUGAACAAUGACCAUAGAACCUGCUUAUUCCAUUAGAAGGUGCUCACAAUUGGACCCCAGUAUCCACGGCGCUAGUCUCGCUCAGAAUGUGCAGACACAAUUUUAUGGCUCAAGAUGAAGAUAUGGUAAGAGAAAAGAAAAGGGGGGGCUGGGGCUGUCCGGCCAUGAUUGGUUUUUGAUUGAAUUCAAUGUUCCACCGUUAGGAAGGACACUUCCUAGAAACACACACGCUCUCUCACACUCCCACCUUGUGGUUAUGUGGACGCCAUGCACUGAACUUAAAUUAUUGUUGCUUGCCCCUCUAGAGUUUUGCUGCCACCAGCCCUUGGCCCAUAACGAGGGAAGAGUAAUCAACCUUUUCUUAAACUUUUGUCCUGACCUGGAUUCCUUCCUCCCCCUUUUCUGCAUUUCACUUUUUCUUUAAGAUGAGAGGUACUAUGGAGUGGAGCAUUUUUAUUCUCACUUGGAAAGAUGCCUUUUGUGCAAUUUCCAUUUUUAAUGGGGAGAGAAAUGACAUGUAAUUAUCUCACAGUCGUGGUGCUGUAAAUAUGGAGGGAUUUUCCUGGUCAUUGAAAAAAUGUGUAUAUACUGACAUAUUCUUUUAAAAGCUUUUGUUAUGAGCAUGAUGAUAUGAUCUCGUCAUAUGUAUGUGGUUGUCUGAUACUGUUUACUCGCAAUAACAGUACUCAGUGAUGAAAUCAAAUGAAAGUCAGUGUUCAAACUCCUGAAAAUGCCUUUAUUAUCCCUUUUAAGGAAGAAUCAAUCUGCCAGAUAAGCUUACAUUGGAUUCAUUUGAAAACACUAUUAUUUCAGUCAGUUUCAAUGGAGACUCCAAGUGUACCAAGACAGACAAUUAUUCAACACUCCCCCACAACAAUGAAAAAGAAAUGAACAGUCAUCUUCAAAAUGGAGGACGAAGAGCUAGAAAAUGCAAAUUCAUUCUGGAAUUCCCAUCAUCAUUUUCCACUCAUUUGGUACAUCUUUAUAUAUGGAUUUAUUAUUUUAUACACAAGGAAAUAAAUAUGUAAAAUAAAGUGCAAAGUGAGAAAGAAAAAAUGGGAAAGUUUGAAACUUGCAGGAACCUAGUCUUUGCAUUUGAGUUUCUCUUCCACAGCAAUGGAGUUCUUGCAAUGAGCAAUUGCAGCUUGGAUUGCAGCCUGCAACUCUUCCAUGGUGCUGUCGCUUGUAGAAGAAGGAAGAGUUGCAGUUGCCACGAGAAGGCCACUGUUUGUUGGAGAUGUCCUCAUCGACGCCGGAGCUGAGAAUUCCCCUCGCCUUCCUCUCAGCUCCUGUUUACCCCUCAAGCUUAAAUUCCCUGAAAACGAAUAAGGCUGCCUCCGGAAUUGGAUGUUGUCCCUCCUCCCUCUGAAGAACAAGAGGGGUCGAACCAUUCUCACGUACCUUUUCAGUACAUGGCUUACAUCGAAUCUCAGCUUUCUCUUCUGUUUCUCCUUCUCUUCUUUGUCUCCAAUCUCACAGCCUUUUCGCCAUCGCCCAAACAGGGAGAAGGACUUGGACUUGUUUCUUUCCUUUGUCUCGCUGCUGUUGCUUUGUUGAUGGCGUCUGUUGCUGCUGCUGCUGAUGUUGUUCUCGCUAUUGCAGCUUCUCUUGAUGUUCUGGCUAUUGCUGCUGCUGCUGCAGUUGCUGCCAUUGUUCUCGGGUUUUUGAUCUUCUAGCAAUUCUCUAAUGGGGAGAGUGAAACUGUCCAAGGAAUUGGUGGAGGAGCGAGGAGAUACAGGAAGAUGAGAAAGUAGGUGGAGGGGUAGCAAGUGACCGUGGAAGAAAAUAUCAUCGGCCGGAGAUAAAUCUAUGGCAAAGGUCGAAGUCUGCGCCUUAGCUUUAUCUGGGAUUGUGGUGGAGGAGGGGUGGAGAGAGAUUGUGAAGGAGAAUUCAUGAGAAGGAGAUGAAGAAGCCGAAGGUGGUGAGGCAGUGAAUGGCGGCUGCUGUUGCUGCUUUACUGAGUGCCCUUCCUUCCCCUCCUGCCUCUCUCCAACUCUCUCUCUGCUCUUCUGCUGCUGUACGGUAUCCAUAACCCAAAACAAAAAGAGAUGUCUGAUACUGAGAAGAUCUGGUUCAGUGUCUGGAGCUCUCUCUCAAACUCCUCAGUUUAUGGGGAUGCAAGGAAAGCCCAUAGGGGUGAGGGAUAAGGGGAUUAGAAAGCAGUGGAGAGAGAGCCAGAGUCUUGUCAAUCUUGUAGUUGAGCUUAGCGUGUCUUUUGUUUAUAUAUAUAUAUAUUUUUGUUUUUAAUGUUACCAUUAUUUUCCUUUUAUGUAUAUAGAAAGAGAGAGAGAAAGAGUAUGGUUGCAAUGAAGCCGUGAAAUAUUCGGUGUGUGUCUUGAGGGUAGUGGGUCCUUGUCAAAUCUAACACCUACAGGAGUGCUGACUCCGGAGAACGGAAUCACAAGCUCCCAAGUUCUCACAGAUGGAUAACCAAACCACCCAAUCACACCAAUUUUGGGUAUGCGUCUUUGUGCAGGAGAAUGUGGACGUGCCAUACGCUCGGGAAACUCCUCUACCAAUAAUAGCCUUGUAGUUUUUAUUUUAUACAUGGAAUUAUACAAUAUCUCUGUUUUUGUGUCGAAGGGAGUAUUGUACAAUGUGGUGAGAUGACGUCAGUCAAAGGACACACACACUAAGGGAGAAGAUAAGGUUUCCAAAUUUAUGGUGGUAAGUCCAAGUCAUCCUUCCUAUUCGACCUAUAUUUCUAUUAUGCGGAUUUGAAUUUACAUUGUUGAAAUUCAUGGUAGAUAUGCUGAAUUUGACACUCACCUUUUUAUCUUUUCAAAUUUUGUUGUCCAAAUCGUUUGACAAUUGAUGACCAACAUUAAACUAGGUCCUAGGAACCUUUGGGAUUGGCAGUAGCAUGGCCCAAUUCCUUUUUAAAGUUCCCCAACCACUUACCAAAGUUGGGACCAAAUCACCUACAAACCACCUUUGAUGCUUCACUUGAAUUAUAAAAGCCAUUACCAGUUCUAAUUUGGUGAAGCCACACUCGUUAUUGGUGGUGGUUGAUGUUAGUCGCCCCGUGAUUAUAUUUCCCAGCCAUACCAACAAGAUUUCUCACGGAUUGUUUUCAAACAACGCUAUUUUUAAUUUCUUCAGAGCUGAGGUAGGUUGGUUUCCCAAAAAAAUCAAAUGGGAAAAAAGAUUUGAAAAUGGGGUUGUGUACUUUGAAAGAUAUUUUUGAUGGCAUUUGCUGGCAGAGGUUGUUGUGUUGAUGUUAUGGAGAGAGAGAGAGAAUGAGAGUGUGUGUGAGGUACUUCGUGGUAUAAUAUUAAUAACAACAUUUAUAGAUGAAGAGGAUUCAAUGUUUGUUGGAGGCGAUGGUCCCCCCAUGAUUUGAAAAUAUAAGGUCUACAUACAGGACACUGUCACACUGAGAGCAGUCGGUUCCAAACUUAAAAUCUCCCCAUCAGUAGAUGUUAAGACUUAAGACUUAAGACUUAAGAGAGAAGGAAAAGAAAGAAAAGGGUUUUAGAGAGAUUAGAGGGUGAGUCAUGUGAGCGAUGUUAGUAAAUUGAGAAUGGAGACUUUGGGGGUUGCAUUUGGACGGCCAUGAAUGAUGAAACACUAUGCAGAUGCAGGAGGGGCACGUGGGGUGGGAGGGCCCACACGCACACGUGUACAAUGUGGUCCAUGAUGACCCCAUACAGAGCAGGGCAUAGAGGAAUUUUGUUGGUAUAGUUGAGGUCAACAUCUCAAUCAUGGAGGCAUUAUUUUGGUGGACACACUCAUCUUCACUACUAAGCCACUCGAAAAUAAAAUAAAAUCAAUAUUCUAUUUUAUCACCUCUUUACUCUUUAGUCUUCGGUCUUAUAGAUAAAGGACGGAAAGAUGGGAGAGAAGCAAACAUUGCAUAAAACAAAGAUUUCACACUCAUCCACCUCGUCCUUUUUGGGUGGGAAAGCCUUUUUGCUUUUCUACUUUUAAAACCUUAUUCUUUCAAGCUAACGUGCUAUCAAACAAAAGUUUUUGCUCUCUCUCUCUCAUUUUAUGAGAUUGAAUCCUUGUUUUAUCACACAAUCAAUUUGGGGAGGAAAAAGGAGGGACUUGAAUUUUACAAUUUUUUUUAGUAAUUUAUUUCAUUUUAUGUAACUUACUGUUUCUUCACUUUUAUAAAGAACUCAUCAAAUACACCACCACUCUUUGCCCUUUCAACCGUGCCAUGUCUAAGUAAAGGUCCCCACAAAACUGGCCCAAGCAUGUGCAUUGAGACCAAUUCUCUGUCCUGGGGUACACUCACCCUAAGCCAAGAGCACUAAAACUAUAUAAUAAAAACAAAAAAAAAAAAAAAAACAUAAAAGAAAUGUAAUCUUUUACAGACUAAAAAUGACAGCCCAUGUAACAAAAGAAAUCAACAAAGAGUCAGCAUUUCCACUGUAGGGCAGGGAAAGAAGAAACUGAGUAACAAAGACUAAAAACUUUGUUUUUGCAAAUAAACAAAUUUCCAAUUCUCCUAUUUACCCUUAACCUCAUCAAAGGAAACAUCAAAUCAAUAACACAUGAACAAAUUCAAUUCUGAAAGCUGAUCGCACGAGUUUUUCCAGAGAUCGGAAUGAAUCCGUGUUAGAGUUCUUAUAGAAACUCUCUACAUAGAGUAAUAAAAUACUGAAGGCUGAUUGCAUUCACUGUUAGCUCUAUGAAAUGGAAGAACCAGUAUACAAUGGAAUGGAUACAGAACUAAAUAUUUAUCACCUCAAGUGCCUUUUAGUGCAGUGGUGAGUUGUUCAAGACUUUCCACACAUCUUUCAAAGGGGCCUAGGCAGAAUGUGUUGUCGCUUCCCAAGUUGGAAACAGAUUCUCAGACAACAAAUAACCAGCUCUAACUCCAGUUUUCUGGCUCAGCUUGGAAACAUUAGAAAGAGAUCUUGAUGGUUGCUGAAAUAGAAUAUCAAAAUGAAUCCAAAUGCUCGAAUCCCUCAAAAGGAAAUGGAGGGGAAAGAGAGGUCCCUGUUUCCGAUUUAAGCUAUUAAAUAAAUAAUUGUUAGUGCUCGUGGAAUGCAAAUGUAGUUGAGGAGGAUUGGCUAGUCACUUCCACUACUAUAUCUAGAUCCAUCUGAAAUCAAACAUAACCAACCAAGAAGGUUUUCCCGCAUUAGAGUUAAUCAAUCUGUGAAGAGAGAGAAGAGAGAUAGAGAGAGUGAGAGAGGAGUUGGCAUACCUCCUCUUCUCCCUUCCAUGGCUUCUUUCUUCUCCUGGCAACUUGAGCAAAGGAAGGGGCCAUCCCAGGGGCGUAAUUUUCCUGCAUUAGAUGAACCAGCGUGUAUAGAUAUACCCUCUCCAGGUUUCAUCUCUACUUGACAAACUGCACACAUGAACAACUUAAACACGUUGCAUAUCGGGUAUUUCGCAUCUAGCCUGCAAUCAAUCACCACAAACAUAUGUCAAAGAACUACAAACCUGCUUGACCUUUUUAAUCAUAUAGGCCACGCAGAAAAAGAAUGAGGGGGAGGGGAGGAGAGGGGAGGGAAGUGCAGAAGAAGAAUUAAGAAUGGAAAAAAACACAUGGUGGUAGCAUAUUUUCUGAUCCUGGAGAAAAGAAGCUUUUUGGUAAAUGGAUUAUUUUGCAUGGUCCAAACCUUUCGGCAAGCAUAGCAGAUCCUUCCUCAAAUAACUCCUCCACCACAUCUGGUUCACUAUAUUCUUUGUCAACAUGAGAAGAUGACUCUGAUGGCUUCUUGCGAAACAUGGACUUGAAAACCCCUUUUCCCUGCUUCUUUGGUGGUGGCAAAGGAGCAGCAGGUACCUUUUCUGGUGGUUGUAUAUCAAUCACAAUGGAAGUUGUAUCAUCUCGCAGUCCCUUUACAUGUAAAGCUUCCUGAAAAUUGAACAUCAGGGGUAACCAAGAUAUAGUCAUACAGCAAUAAGCAACAGAUACUACAAAGAAAGGGCCUGUUUGGUGAUUCUUUUUAAAACAGUUUUUUGUUCUUUACCAACUUCAAAAACAUGUUUGACAAAUUAACCGAAAAUAAUUUUUUGAGAAUUUGAUUUGAAGACGGUAAUUUUUUAGAACAAAUUUAAGAUGUUUUCAAGUGUUUUUCCAAUACUGUUCUAAGAAUGGGCCGGGAGCAUUGCAUUAUGUACAAGAGCAAAGUGCCUUCACAAUGAAUACACUGAGAAAACUUGUUUUUAGAAUUGAGUUUCCAAACAAAAUUUUGAAAAAUAAUUUUUAAGAUCUGUUUUAAAAAAAUAAUUUUUGAAAAUGUUGCCAAAUAAAUACUAAAAAGUUGUUCAUUGCACACCUUAACAACUUGAGUAGCUGCUGCAUCUGCCGGCAUCCCACGACAACAAUCAAAAGCCAUUUCAGGUGAUAAAGCAUCCCAGACACCAUCACUUGAAAUUAUGAGCCUACCACCAGCAGUAGACAACUGCAGCAAUAGUAUUAUGAGAGUUGUGUUAGAGUUCCUUUAAUAGAACAAUAAGAUGAUUAGGGCAGUAUUCAACAAAAGAAAAUUAAGGCUCAGAUUAAUAACAAAAAUUCAUGCUGUAAAGCUGCACUGAGAGCAGUGCCAUAAUAAGAUGGAAGCAUGAUUCAUAGUAACAAACGUUUCCUCAACCUCUUUCAACCAUGUUGAAAUUUCUUCAGUAAAAUGGAAGUAACAGGACGGUACGCCAAUGCAAGAGGCCAAAUUACUUAAAGAAGCAUCUCAAUUAUAAACUAAGAUUGUGUUUAUUUCAUAAUCAAGGAGAUUAUUAGUUGACAUCUGAAUUUCCAUUUUUUACCCUCAUUUUGUGGGAUAUGAUAUCUGCAUCCUAGGAUAUGUCUCCUAAUAUUAAUUAUAGACACAAACAAAUAGAAGUAAAAGGCAAUUUAAAUCCACAGUUCAAGUUCUAAGCGUUGCAAAUAAUUCCUCAGAAAAAUGGUAGUGUGUACAAGAAUGUGCUGGCAGUUGUUCCUCAUUUACCACUUCUCUUGCUGUGCUAACAGACCAAGGUUGACGGAGAUCUGUCCAAACCCCACAUUAAUUGCUCAAAUUUUACUCAUAAAAGGUUCCAUCACAAAGGACUUUAUCCCUUUAUAAAACAAAUUUGAAAUCUUAAGCCAACCAUGAUCAAUUUUGUAUCAAUGGCCCAAAUAAUGAGAUUUUCCUCACAAGAACCAAAUAUUCAAAAUAGAGAAACCAAAAAUCACCUAAAAUGCUUCAAUUUGAAUGGAAAAGAAAUGUUUUGCAUUAAAGCAUAAAUCCUUGUCUGCUAGCUCAGUUAAACUCCAUAAGCAGAUUUGAACAUUUGGCCCUUGAGCCCAAAUCCCAUCUACCAUAGAAAAUGAUACUACCAACAGCCUCAAGAGGUCACCUAAUUUUAAUAAAAAAUCCCUAAGAAAUUUAAAGACCCAAGGAGUUUGUGCUAGGGUCAACAAAUUCAACAAAGGUCAUCCUAAUCAUUUGGGGAUAUUAGCCACAUGAAACCUAUUUUGCAUGUAUCUUUUAUAGGCAUCAACGUCCAAAGCUAAAUAGGGAUGAAAAUAGGCAAAGAAUAAGGCCUUUUUUGGUCUUUGAGAAAUUGAAGAAGAAAAAGGAAAGAAAUCAAAUUUUAGAACCAAAGGGUCUGCUUGGAAAUUGUUGUUGAAAGCAAUUUUCUAACCUACAAAAAACAUAGUUUUUUUUAAAAAAUCUUCUGAAUUUUUUUAGAAUAAAUUUGAGAUGUUUUAAAGUGUUAUUUGUAGAAUGUUUUGAGAAAUACUUGAAAAUAUGGAGAAUAAUUUGAGAACAUUUGUAUUGUGCAUAAGUGCACAGUACCUUCACAGAGAAUAAGCCAAGAAAACUAUUUUCCAUAUUUGAGAACCAAAACAGAAUUUAAAACAACUGAUAACUUUUUAAAAAAAUUGUUCUAAAAAACUGUUCUUGAAAACCUUGCCAAACUGACCCUAAAAGUUAUAGUUCAUGGCCCUAAUAGAAACAAUACUGAACCCAAUAAAACCAAAAUCCUGACUUCUUUUCCAGCCCUUUUUGAGCAAUCAACUGAUGGCAAAGGAAAUUUAUCCAAAAAAGAAUUGUUCCAAUUCUUCUAAACAAAUUGGAAUAAAAAUGUUGCAGAAUCCCACAAAAUCAAACUUUUAUAAAUAUUUCUUCUCUCUCUCUCUCUCUCUCUUUUCCACGGAAACCUGAAUUUUUAAAAUCAUUUGGCUACUGUCUUGAAGCAACAGUUAGGAUAGAAGUGGUAAUAUCAAAGUAAAGAUUUGCAAGAAAAAUCAUUCAUAAGAUAUUUUUCUGGAGUGAAGUCUAUCCACAAUGCUAUAGCUUAUAGCUGAAAAAGCUAACAAGAAAUGUGUAACAAGGGCCAGAUGUAGUCACAUAAAUAACAAUUGAGCAGGCAAUGGGAAGAAGCAGGGAAAAACAACAUCACUAACACAUAAUAAAUAUAAGAUAUAUGUAACAAAAUGGCUAACAAACCUUCACUUGCUUUACAUAAGGAACCGGAACAAUGAACUCUCCAACAUCCAUAUCACCAAUGGAUCGGGAAAGGCACAAACCACCAGGCCAGCAUCUCAAAGGACCAAUCUGCAGGAGAAUUAGUGUACUAGUUAUUCAGCCUGUUUUAAACCUAACAACAAACCUGAUACAAUUUCAUCUGAAUAGGGUUGGAUGGGAGAAAGUCACAGUCCAUAGGAGAAGAACCAAGUUAUGACAGGAAAAAGAAUCUAUUGACAGAAAGAAUACAGAUACAAUUUCAUCUGAAUAGGGUUGGAUGGGAGAAAGUCACAGUCCAUAGGAGAAGAACCAAGUUAUGACAGGAAAAAGAAUCUAUUGACAGAAAGAAUACAGUGUUUAUAGUUCCUCUAUUAUCACACCACAGACAACUUUGAAAUUUUCAUUUGCUCCACAGAUAAUGAUCCAUCAACAUUAUAACAAAUAUGCACAAAUUGGUAUUAUCAAUUUCAGAAUUUAUAUCUAAACUAAAAGAAUUUUAGCAAAAAUGACUAUUUCUUAUCUUAAUUGUUAGUUUGAACAUUUGUACUACUUUUGGCUAAGCACCAGAAUCUUAGUUAGAACUUGGUUUUACACUUCAUAUAGGUUCUUAAUACAAAUUAUCUGAUCCCUCUUAAGAAAAUUCUUCAAAAUAUCAUUAAAUAAUUAAAUUGCAUAAAAUCUUUUGCAGGCACUUCCCCAAGUAAUGCAUUCAUGAUUUGAGUUUGGCCAGCCUUCAAGUCUUAGAAAAUUCUUCAAAUUUUCAUUAAAUAAUUAAAUUGCAUAAAAUCCUUUGCAGGCACUUUCCCAUGCAAUGCAUUCAUGAUUUGAGUGUGGCCUCAAAGUCCAGCAUAUUUACAGGGAUAUCCAUAUAUAUUUAAUUUAAGCUUCAAACAAGAAACUCACCGAGCAACUAGAGAGGUUCAAGAAAUAAAUUAUUCAACUACUAAAAGAACAAUUAUGAAAGAUAAUUACCUCUGCACCACCACCUGUAUUCAGUCGACCGACCUCACCCCCACUUGCAGUGAUACGAUCUCUCCUGAUUAAACAUUGAAAAUAAGCUUUAAUAAACAGCUAAUUAUUAAGUGAGCCACCAAACGCAUUACACAAACAACUUACUCCUCUUCAUUGCAUUCAAGUCUAUGGUCUGCUGACAAAUGGUAUAUAUCACCUUCAGCAGAUUCAAGUAUGCACCGUGAAUCACCAACGGAAGCAACAGUUACCACCCAUCCUUCUAUUAUAACAAAGGUAACAGUUGUUCCUGAAGUUCGUGCUGAAAAAGUAGCCAUAUCAAAUUUUCAAGUCACAUUUAAAUGAGAUGAAAAGACUCUUAAAAAAAGGAGAAUGCAGCAGCAUGCAGAGAGAAAAUCAAGUUCAUAGCAAAGAAGAAGAAAAAAUGCAUGUACAGAGUAGUGAGUAAACCAUGACAAUUGAAAGUGUCAAACAUUGAUAAAUGCCAGGUACUAACAUGGAUACCAAAGCUAAAAUAACUCUCCUUUACAUAGAAAAAAAGAGAUCCAUCAAAACCAUGCAAGCUAAAACAUAUAAAAAGGUUCAGCCAUGUCCCAGCAAUCGUUGGUUAGAGCAUUGUUAUACUUUUAGGAUCCAUGCCAUAAAGCCAAUUAUCCUAAUACAAUCAUCUAACUUAAAUGUUUACUAAAAGAUAAACAAUGUGCAACAGAUAUUAUAGGAUAGUUUCAUGCAUUAUGAUCGUGGUUAGAUAAACAUGUCCCAAUUUUUUAAAUAAAGGCAUAGAAGUGUGUAGUAUUGGUAAAAAGAGAUACCUUUAGCCCAUUAGCAGCAAUUACCUUUGCAGGAGUUCAAUAAUUCAAAUAGAAGUUUGAGAAAAAUAUGUAUUGAAGAAAUAUGAUUUUAAGACACAUUAGACUUUGAUGAUAAAAGAACUAUCAUGAUAUAGAUCCAUGUAAGACCAUAGAAGCAUAUCCUGAUCAUGCAUUAAAAUAAACUCAGAUGAUCAAUCUUGUAACAAGAUAACCCUACACAUUAAAAACUCAGGUAGCAAUUCCAUUAUGACAAAAACUUUGUGGUUCUAAUUGAGUUAUAUGACAUUUCCCUAUUUGGACCAUGGGGUAACUAUACUACAUGUGCUACAUUAGUACAAGUUACCAUGAAAAUUAUUCAUACCUUUCUCUUGGAAAUCUAUAUCUGUCUUAACAAACCCUGCAACCAAAGCCCUAGGUAAGGCAGCUACCCACUCAUCUCUGCUAAGUUCUGGAGGAAUAGCAGCUAAAACAUUGUUUAGAAGAUUCUCUUUUGAGUAUAUAGCAGCUGCAGAUCCAUUAUGUCCAUCAAAUAGCUGCAAAAAAAGGUUUAGUAAGAUCCACCUACCAAAAAUACACAUAUAUAUUAUCAUAUAGAAACUGUUGUGUAAAUAUGAGAUAUAAGCAACAAUAGAUAGUUUAGCAGAUGGAAGGCAGUCACCAAUUCUUUAGAGGUUCACAUCCCUUAAAGCGAUCAUGCAAGUAAUGGAAGGCAGAAGAACAAGAAUCAGGCUGAUGAAAAGCAAUUAUCAUACCAUGGACUAAAUAGAAAAUUCAUAUAAAUAGAUAACUUUUCACAAUGUUAAAACAAAACAAAAUUUACCAGUGAAAAGAGGAAAAAAAAAGGUACAAGAUGGGAGGUUUCUCACAGAGAGGAGAAAGUAAUAGAAUAUAAAUGAAAUACAAAAGUCUGUAAAACAAGAAAAUAUGAAAGAAUGCAAUAACAAAGCCCAAAAAUGUUCAAAGCAAAGAGGGAAUGAAGUAUCUAAUCAAGAAUUCGAAAUCACAAACUUCAGUUUCAAUUUAUAGCAGGAAUCAACUGGUGCAAAUGACAGAUGAAAUGAACAAGUUAAAGCCACGGUUCUCCAAUCUCUAAUAAACUAAUAAUUAUUUUUCACAAUGUUAGAACAAAAAUGAAUGGUACUAGUGAAGAGAAAAAAGAACAAGGUGAGGAGGUUUUCUCACAAACACAAGGAAGUAAUAGAAUAUAAAAGAAGUACAGAAGUGUGAAAAACAAGAAAAUAAAGAAAAUGAAAGAACAAAGGCCAAAAGAGUUGCAAAGAGGAAGGGAUGUAUCCGAUCAAGAAUUUCCAACUUGCAGACAAUCUUCAAUUUCAAUUUAAUAGGGAGAACCAACUGGUGCAAACAGCCCCAUGGAAUGUAGAAGAUAAAGCCAAAGUUCUCCAACCUCUAAUAACCUGAGAUAUUCAUAAACCUCAGAACUUGUAAAAACAGAGGCCAAAAAAAGGCAUCUUGAUCCUAUCCAAAUAAAACCCAAGAAUCUGAAAGAGGAUGCAAAUAUCUCCUAUACAUUCCACCAAAUAUGCCAAAAGGAUGGAAAAUAUUUUCAAUAAUUUGCAAGUUGUCCAAUGAAAAAUCAUAGACAUUAACUGAAAAAAACAACACCCAAUCCUCCACAAUUCAAAAUAUAAAUAUAACUAGUUUCAUUUUAAAAUAGCAUUUUUCUUUUGGUAGAUAUAUAAUCCUACCGAAAGAUUUGAAAAACACAGGAUGGGAUCCAAAUACAUGUGAAGUAUUCGGACUGGAUUCAUAAAAAAUGCGGUCCCUCAUUUCAUCCAAAGAAAAUUCCGAUUCUUCAACAAUUUACUUGUUCCGCUUUUCAACAGGAUAAUACCUUCCAUUUGCUUUUACCAUUUCAUUCUUUUAUAUAUAUAUAUAUAUAUAUAAAAGGCUAAUACCUUCCUUCCCAAUCCUAAAAUGGAAGCAAGCCAUAGAAUAUGUUAGAACAUUCUUAGCAUAAAAGUGGGAGAAGAUCAUCAAAAAAAGGAAAAAGGGAUAACAAAGAUAGAGAUGAGAAGAAGACAAAGACAAGACACAGAAUAUGUUAGAACAUAAUUAGCCAUAAAAGGCUGGAGAGGAUCAUCAGUUGUCUUUUGAUAAGAAAGGAAAAUGAUGACAGAGAUGGAGACCAGAAGGACAAGAAAGACAAAUUUAUAUAUUCCGCUCAAAUCACACCUAUGCAGUUGUUGUGGUGAUAUAUCAAAAUACUAACAUGCAUUUAAUCAUGAGUGAUGCAGGCAUCCAUCAAAACCAGUUAUUCACAUUCAGAAGUAUUGAGAUAUGGAUGGCAUUGUUCUCUUUGUUGACCGAUAAUUUUGAUAACUUAUCAACUUUUUCCCAGUUCCCAUACAUAAAUCUCAAGGCUCCCAUAUCCCCAUGACUUCCCUCCUUUCAUAGUUGCCAACUCCAACUUCAAAUUGCCUUCCAAGUCACCAACCCUCGCACUAUCUCUUGAAAGCAUCAAGAACAAAGAAAACUUGAAUAAUUUAAAAAGUAAGCCAUUUCUAAAAUUCUUUUCUUCCUUUUAUUCAACUAGAGAAGCAAAAUGGCUUGUGUUAUUCAGAAAAUCAUAUAAGAAUUGCUCAAGCUCUAACCAGAGACAACAAGAAUUCCACAUUAAAAAGAACCAAGACAAAAAUCCAUACCCCAAAAACCGAGUAUGUAGAAACCCCAUCUCCAACCACCCUUUGGCAUUCGGUCUUGAGUAAAGUGAAGUCCUCCCCUUUCUUGCUUUGGCUGGCCUGUCCAUGUAUAAUAUCAGGUUUCUCAAUCUUCUCACUGGCCAAUUCCCGCUUCAACAGCACCGAGAGCGGGACAGUUUGAUGUUCACUCCUGGUGGACAUUGUUCACCACCACCUCUCCUCAAAUCGUCAAGACAGAUUCCUCAAAACCAGAAUGUAUCAUCCACUACCUCUAGUCUUCCAUGUAUUGUCAAUCAAAAUCCUGAACCAACCAACCAAAUAACCGCAAAUUAAUUUAAGCACUCAUCCAAUAAAAUUACCAAUUACAAUGAAAACCUUAACUGAAUGCACAUGAAAUUCAAAAGCGUAUCGAGAUCUUCGAUCGUUAAAUAAAAUUAAGAAAAACAAUCACAAAAUCAAAUGCCAGAGAAUCCUUACAACAAACACACACCAAAUCAACCCAAUUGGAAACAUAUAUCACAAAAUGAAAGACCAAACUUUAAAUAGAGUCUCCUCAAUCCAUGUGUAGAUUUCUACAGUACCUUAUAAUUUAUACCAAUAAUAAAACGAAUAAAUUAAGAAGAUGGACACAACAAGAAGAGGCAAAUGAUGGAAAACAACAGAAAAAGAAAAGGAAAAUUACAGGGAGAGAGAAAUGCAAAGUUGGUGAUGGGUUAGAGGAGGAGAAGAUAACCAAUUGGAUUGGUUGCUGUGAUCGAGAAACGCGGAUCCCGGCGUUAUGCAAUAUUCCAUACAGCAAUCCAAUUCCAAUUCCAAGAGAGAAUGAGAAAAGGAGAGAAAAAAGGGAAGAAAAGGAGAGAGGCGCAAAUGGAGCUGUUCGUGUUUUUUCUUUCUUUCUUUUUUAAUGUUUUUGCCCCUCGGAAAGGGGUGAGGGUUGACAUGACAAGAACGCACCGUUGGGGAGUUCGGCGUUCUCUAGCCGACUUAGAGAAGAGCCAGUGUUUAUCGUGCGCCUCGGGCUACCACUCUACUGGCUUACGCUUGUGGGCGCGUGGUUCACUUCCGCAACUUGUCUCGUCAUCCAACGGCUUCAAAGAGAUGCGAGUCCUCUCCAAAGCCGAUCAGCAUUUUACGUGUGGCCCACGAGCAUAAGCUCCUCUGGAUUACCCUUUUUUUUUGGUUCUCCUGAUUUAGCAAGGCGCCGGUUGAGCGAACAAACGCGAGGGGGCUCUCGAUAGCGAAAGAGGGGAAGAAAGGAAAAUAAAAAGGACCGAGUCAAAACAACCCUCACGGGACGGAGAGACAUGAAAAAAUAAACGCUUAGCCGGUUAUAGAAAAAAGUUAUUGAAUAUUAUAUUGGCAAUAAUGCCGUUCUAAAUGUCACGUAGCUACGGGCCUUUUCUGCAGCUGCGUGGGGCCCCAAAUUUAGGGGGCAUAGGCCCAUUUGUCUACCUCGCACCUAAUGCUUUUGACGUCCAUCUUUCCUAGAGUCACCCUCCCCGAAAUUCUCGGCGCCAAUUUUCUAUAUUGAGAAUUGAUCGUCUCAUAAAAGCAUCCUAGGAAAAGGAUAACAAACAAGAUAUAAUGAGUGUAAUUUUUAUACCUUUGAAGAAAUGGAGCAAUUGAUCAGGUCGUUGGCUGAGUAGCUUAAUUAAUUAAUUAAAAAGCAUUGAAAUUCCUCCCCCCCACCCCCCCAAAAAGGCUCCACAACACUGGAUCACAUAUUCUAUGAAUUUUGUUCUUGUGCUGUUGACGGUUGACAAAUCAAAAGAGUCCAUUGCAAGGGGUAAGGUAAGAUGAGAGCAUGUUCCAUUUUCUUUCUUGCCUUGCAAGCUGGAUCGGGUCCAGCUGCCACCAACUGUUGCCAUUUAACAACCUGUCCUCCAGUACAGCCCACAACAUCACAUUCGCCAGGGUCAUUUCAUACAUGCAUAUGAUACAAUAAAAUAUAAUAAAUAUGAUAAUUGCAGCUAAUUAUCUUUGUACUUUGGGGGAAAUGCAAUACAGUUUAUGAUCCUGAUUGGCUCAGAUUUUGGGGAUGCUGGAUUCUGGACAAGGCUCCAACUAAGGUCCUGACCCUGCCGGAUAUUGAUUGCUAGGCACGAGGCUGAAUUGAAACAUCACCUCAAACUAGACCUGCUGGUCUAUCAAUCUUCAAACAAGAUGCAUUAAGCUGUCUUCAAAGCGAGAAAGCAACAACAAACAUUAAACAUAAAUGCCCAUUGGGAUCCUAUAAAUUCACAAGCUGGAAGAAAUAGGAUUGCCUCAUGGCAAGGAACUACAGUGGAUUUACAAAAAUAGAGGAAAUGAAAGGGGAAAAAAAGUUGUGCUAGAACCUAAUACUGAUAUGUUCUAAGAAUAAGAAUGCAUUUUUAUACGAAACUCAGGACAAAAUGACCCGUCUCUCUACUGCCAACUUGCUAUCUGCAACAAAUUGUAGUGUCAGUAAGAAGCAAAAUCAAAAUAAACAAAAACAUACUAAUACUGUUUAGAAGGGAAAACUAGUAGUAUAGAGAAUAAAUGACCAGAAAACUUCAAAUUAGAAGCUCAACAGUAAUGGAAAAAGGAAUAAAUUGACACGGCAUGAUAUACAUCACCAAUUCUUAGAGGCACUGAAAAAUGAACAGAACCCAAUUGCAACAGGAAAAUGAAAAAAAAAAUGCCUUUCUUAUUAAGAAAUCCAUUAAUUAAGACCACACCCAGAAAAAGUAAAGGCAUCCAAAUUACAUAUCUGUAAAUAAAUAAAUAAAUAAAUAAUUGAAUGAUCAUAGACACCAACUUAGAUGUAGAGCUGGAGAAUGUUGUGCAUUGUUAAACUGAAUAAUAUAUCUUCAUAGAUUCUAAAGCACAGUAGCUAGCAAGUGUUAUGUAUGCCUAUGCCGCCCCUGGUUAUUGUAUAUGCAAGUGGUUCUAAACAUGGAAGUCAGGCAUGUCAAAAUAUGCUGUUGCUUAAGGGACCACAUGCAGUAGGGAAAUAUUUGCUGGAAUGUAAUACUUGGGGCCACACCUGACCAGAUGCCUUGCCAGCAGAAGCUGGCAUGAUGGGCUGAGCCAGAUGAAACCCCCAUGGAUAUGUAGUGUUUGAGAAGAUUGUUAAGAAUCUGCUUGCAGAUCUAGGAAGGGGUGCAUGACGGCAAGGAAGUUAAAUGUACCUUACUGUGUGACACUGUCAUAUUCCUAAUCACAAUUUGGAAUAUGUUCAUCGCUUCAUGCAGUAUCCUAGAGAAGCACAAUGGGGAGCAAUCCGUCUCAUGAUAUGUAAGAGAAGCUCAAAACAGAGGCCUAGGACUGAUCUUCCACUCAUCUUGAUGCUGUGGACUCCUCUGAUGCGGAUGAGCUGGAGACCAUUUGAAUGAAAGAUCUUUUCCAGGUUACUGCACCUUUAUUAGUGGCAAUAUGGCUGCCCCAAAUGUAGAGGGCAGAAUAUUCUCGCUAGAUUGAUUGCAGAGGCAGCAAUAUCAUCGCUGCUACACAUGAUAUUGCUCACCCCCAUUUCUUGUAGUGGAGAUUUAACCCAUGUUAUAGACAUGCUAUAAAGUUGAAGACAGGUCUAACUCUCAUGCUAUAAAGUUGAAGACAGGUCUAACUCUCAUGCAGUCAUAUUCAAGGGAUCACAUUUCUGGAGUUCAAUCAGCCAUGGGUGGGUCUGGAUCUCAAAGGCCAACAAACUGCAUAACAAAUUGUACAUAUGCUAUUUUUGGAAUAUAAUGCUGACAGUUAUGAUGUAAGUUGUUCAUAUUGCAAAUUCUCCAAGGUUGGUAAUAACAAGAAGCAACAAAAAUUCAACAAAAAGAAUUAUAUCUAACAUAUUAAUAAACAUACUGAAAACCAGAACCAAACAGCAAUGAGAAAUCACAAUCCAGCAUCUCCAAGUAUUUGGAAGGAACCCAAAAUUGUUACCUGAAUUGACUAACAUUCACUUGUGUAAGAUUUAGCACUUGUUUCCCUCUUCAAAACUACUUACUCUUACAAUGUACACCUGAAACAAGCAGAUAAGCAAAUAUAAAUCUGUUCAAAGAAUCAGAAGUACUCCAUGGUGGGGAUAAUGAAGGUGCUUAGUCUGCAGUGCAGUUCAAUGAUCACCUUGAAUUUUGUAGGCCUGACUAAUUGGAAAACCAAUGCAUCCCCAUCUACUAAUUUAUGAGCAACAGAAAAUCUUUUCCAUCCACCGCUAAGUCCAGAUUUCCGGGCCAAGAAUACUGUCGGAUACUCAUCACCCUCUUCACCCACCAGAUUCAUUAUCACAUCGGAUUUUGGAAGGGUCGUCUUGCAAAAGUGCACAGGAAGGCCCUGUUGUCAAAAUUGUCCAAUGUAACUGCUCCAAAGGUGGAAGAAGUAAUACAUAGCAUUCAAAAAAAAAAGGGAGCAGAUAAACCAAGUUACUAACCAGCCAGAAUCCACCAGUGACAUGUGAUUGGAGCAUUGACUUCAAGAAGCUAGGAUACUGGGGUUCUAGACUAGCCUGCAAUUCUUCAGCUCUCUCCAUGGCGCAUGUUCUAGCUUCCUCCGAAGCAUAUACUCGGUUGGACAAAUCCCUUCCCUUAGAAUGAAUCCUAUAUACAACACAAAAUGCCAAUCAAGUAUAUGACACAGCGCCAAUAAAUAAAAAUUUCAAAUCAAUAUACCUUUCAGAUACCACAACUCUAGGUAUCACCACUUUAGGGGUCACCACUGCAGGUAUCACCACUGGUUCAGAAAUCUGUCAGGAGUAAUAAAGCAUUAUAUUUCUAAUUUUCUAAUAAUCAAACCCAAAUCUAACAAAAAGAAAAGCAUACUUAUUAACAUAAUGAAUCAUUUAUUUACGGAAUCAAGAAGCAUACAAAAAUUUCAAAGAUUACAAUCUUCCGUAAGGCUAUGAACUGUAAAACGAAAAACAAGCUGAUUUCGAAAUGAGGUCCAAUACCGAAUGAAAACAGAAAAUAGAUUAGGAAGAACUCACUUCCUUUUGAGCCUGGUAAGCCUUGUUUGCAACGCGACUGGACCUUCUCAGUGGGACCUGUUGCUCGCGAACUCUGCGUGGUUUAGAGUUCUUCGCCUGGGGAUUGAAUAUGAAACAGAGUGAGUGGUUUUACACUUUCUACUGAGUGAGAUUGAGAGAUAUCGAAUGAGGAAGAGAGAAAAUCACCGGGGAAGACUUCGGGGUGAGAGAUUCUCGGAGAGCUUGAGAAAGGAGGGGAAGGUUGAGGGCUUGAAGCCUUUUAUUGUUCUCCUCUAAUCGCUUGCGACGGCAUUCCUCGUAUGUUAGCUUCGCCGCCACCAUUUUCCCAGUAACCAAACAAAACUUGUAUGCCUCACCAACCAACCUCCACGACAAUGAAUAACAGAGACUGGGAAGGGCACUCUCCAGUCUCCACUCGACCGUUAUGAAUCCCACCUCGCUUUGAGUAAUGAUUGCAUCACUCUUGGUGAUGCAGUUGGCUCACAGGUGGAAUUCAUUGGGGCUCUCCACCGCUCUCCGGGCUAUGUCACGGCUGCUGAGCCACCGUCAAAUCAAAAUCUAAUCAAACGGUUUAAAAUUCAAAAUGAUUUGAAACGUGGUAUUAUGCGAUCCUUUGGCACAAAUAUUUCAAAUAUAAAAUGUGCUGAGGCUGAAUUUUGCGCCCAUAUAAUAAUAUCAUUUGAAAAAAAAAAAGGUAUUUAUACAUUCAGUUCUAAAAUGAUUGCCAAUGUAAAGGUACAAAUUACAAGUUACAAGUAGUUGGAUAGAUUUUUUUUUCAUUUGAACUUUUUCUGAAAAUCUAUCAUUUUUAAUUUAGUAAAAAUUAAAACCGCAGCCCCGUUCUAAUGGAAACAUAGUAAAAGAGAGUUUGUCAUAAAAUUAAUUAUUUUGGAAAAAAUUUAUAAAUCCGGAUCCCUUUCCUACAUGUUUAGCCAACUGAAAAAAACAUUCGAAUACUUAAGCAAUGGAAAACGGAAAGCCACUAAUUUGGUGAAUAUUUUGUGGAGGCACCUAGAUUAAAGAUUUAUAAAGAAAAAUUGCUGUUGAUUAUUCUUCUGCCAUAGCGGAAGCAAAUACAUUUAUUUCAUGGAAAGAAAACAAAGCAUAGUCUCAGACAUGCUGAACUUUCCAAUUGAUAUCACCAUCUGCAGACCUCAUAUAUUUCUGGACACCAUAUUGACAUCAGAAACAACACAACCAUCAGCAAGUUGCUCUCCUCCUCCAUUCAAUAAUCUAUAGAGCCCAAGGUCUUCAACCAGGCAAGUACCUCCGCCAGACCUUCUUUUAAGCUUCUAGGGUUAUAACCCAGCUCCACUUUAGCCUUCUCACAAGAAUACGCCCACUGAUGUCUCAGAACUUGCACAGUCUGCUCCAAAUGGUACAUGAAGGAAUUGUAAGACGAAAAUUAUAAUUUAAAGAAAAAAAGAAACCCACAAGAAAGGUAAAAAAAAAAGAAAAAGGGAAAUGUGACAGAAUGACAGUUGGGAGAAAGGCCCAGGGUGCGAAAAGAGGGGUUAGAGCAUCCAGCACACAACCUGGUGAUGAGAUCUUGUAUGACAAAGUCCAACCAGUUUGCAUUAUCAAAAUAAUCAAAAUAGUUAUCAUCAGAUCCAAAGUUUGGAUUUGAUAUGUGAAUUUCACCCGGAAGUCAAGAUUUUGGAAUUUAGGAGCAGCAGUUUCUCUGUGGGCAUUUGGAGAUGGGUCAGGAGGUGAUGGUGGCAAUGGUAGAGCUGUGGUAUCAAUAGUGGAGGCGGUGCCACAAUGUUAGUGUGAUGGAGGUUUGUGCAGGAAGAAUGGAGCAUACCGGGGGGCUGAUCAGAGGAAGCUUUCCUGUUAUUCUAGCGAAAAGAACCGAUGCCCAUCCAUAAACAUCAAUCACCCAUAUGGGAAUGUUAAACCAAGGCUUCUUUGUUCCAGUGAUGACAGCAGCUAAGUCGAAAACAAGCUUGAAAGAUGCAUUUUCUCCUGUAAGUAAGUAUCUUUCACCCAGUCGACCUUUGUUCAUUGCUGCUAUUUGCCCCUCCACUACAUCAUCAACAUGACUAAAAGAACAUUUAUCAUUUCCAUAUCCAACAUAACCUGGUAGUCGCCCAUUAAAGCGUUCAAUCAGCUGAAAGGACAGAACAUAACCAACUUUUAAUGAGCAAAAGUAUAGCAUUUGCAAUAUUCAGAUAUACGCUCUUCCUAAGUGGCAGCAAUAAUUCAAUCUUUAAAUCUAUCCAGCAUCAGAUAAUUACAUUCCUGUUAUACCAAAUGGAAAAUGGAAACACAAAGAAAAACCAAGAGUUACUCAGCUAGCAUAGCUCUGGAAGAGUAACACCAAUGAUAGAACAGAUUUUUUUUUCUCCCCAACCCCCCUGAAUUAAAGUGAGUGGGAAAAAAAUGAAUAUGAUUGCUCUAACAGGGUAACUACCCCUUGAAAAUUUUACUUGAACAUUCUUGAAGAUAUAUUCAUUCAAAUAUGGACUAAAUCAGGUUACCAGGAUUCAAUAGAAAACGGUAUAAAUUCCAAAAUCCACCACUGAGAAAACACUACUUUUUCAGAUACGUAUCACAAACAACUAGCGAAACACCUUCAAAGAAAUGAAGAAAAAGAAGAGGAAGGAAAAGCAUUUCAGCAUUUGGUGAUUCUGAACAAAUGCUACAACAUGGCAAGCCACUAAUAUGUAUAAACAGAUAAAUUGAGUAUGUAAAGAGAAAAUAACAUUUUUGUGAUCUUGUUGAGAACCAGAAUUUUUUUUUUCUUCAUUAAAAACAAAGGCAUCUCUAAACUUCAAUCUAAUUUUUCCAUACUAUAAACCAGGGGGUAGCAAAAAAAUUGAAAGUCACAGUAGUGGACUUAGUGCUGGAAGCAACUACCUCUGUGUAGCACUCAUCAUAAUUAUAAUGGAGGAAUGAUUAAAAGUAACUAAUUCAUAAACAGAUAAAGAACAUUUUAUAGCAGCAGAAGCUGAAGGGAGAAAAACAACAAACAAAUAACACUAUAGGGAGGGAGUGCAUCUGUGUUGAAGCCACGACCUCCAAAGAACAACCAAAUAAUUUUCACUAUACUUAUUUGUUCCUCCCUGAACCAUCAACCUCUACUACUUUUGCAAAAAAAACCUCAGUCAGCACCUGUUUUAGCCACUAGCCGUGUUUUCUGUAAAAGGAAAAAUCUAUCAAGAAUUUUGAAAAUUAAUUUGUAUCGCAACAAUUUACAAUUUACUGAAAUAUAACUAGUCAUUGACCAUGUUGAAAACCAGCAUCUAUCGUCCAUUGCUUGUAAACCAUGGUUAAUGGAAGAAAAUAGAGAUAUUAGCGACUUCUAACUCCAAUUGCAAACCCUUCACUGUUGUAAAUCACAAGGCCAAGAGCCAAUCCUAAUUUCAUAUAACACAUUCUCCAAUUCCAUCGUCAAUUGCCAUUAAUUUCAAAAUAAACUGUUGCCACUGAUUUCUACUGUUAUGAUCCAACUUAAGCAAAAAGUCUUAAGUCUUACCAUUCGAGCAACAAUGUUGCCGGCUGUAACCUUGCCUGGACCAUAUAUAACUCCCGGAUAAACCACGACUAUUGGUGACCCCUCUACUGCAGCUUGAAGAGCAAUCUUAUCUGCCACUACCUUUGACCUCUCAUACUCCGUGCAGAAAAACUUCUCAGGAUGGAUCUGUCACCACAGUUUUGAAUUUAAGGAAGAUAUUAUGACAAGCCAGCAACAUCAUAUUGAACUGCAAAAAAUUUAAAGAAAAAUGAAUUGAUCUGUAUACUUGACUCUCAUCUGCCACAUAUCCGUCGGUCGAUCCAAGAGCAAAGAAUGACGAGGUAUAUAUUAGCUUCUCUACUGUCUUCGUCUCUUUAACCGCUUGCAGCACAUUCUUUAAACCUCCAACAUUAACCUAAUACAACGAACAUAAUUUUGUUUGAUUUUUAUUUUCAAACAAUUGUAUCAAAAUCCUUUAUGCCCCGUUUGGUUUCUGAGAAAAAUUAUGGAAAGAAGAUAAAUUCAAAUUCUGAAUCUUCGGGUCCCAUUGAAUUUCGAAAAUAUGAAAUAAAAACGUGAAAAUGAUCGAAAAUUAUACUAAAACGGAUUCUUUCCUUUCCUAAUCCGAAUAUAAAAAAUGUAGACCUAAAGAAUUUAUUUAACCCUACAGUUCAUCUAACCCUACAGUUCUACUUCAACUAAUUGGCUUCGCUGAGGUGGUCAGUUUCAUCGCUCAGAGCCAUAGCAAUUCAAUAAAAAUUUAUUUCCUCCUUUUUUCCAAAAUUUUCCCAGCAACCAAAGGCAGACGGGAUUGUGCACCUACUGAUAAAAAUCUGGAAGGAUCGGGAAGCCAAGGCUCGACUAGGGCGGCGACAUGGAAGACGACUUGACAGCCGUCGCAGGCGGCCAAGACGGCUCGGUACUCGGUCACAUCUCCAUAAGCAAGCUCCAGAGCUCCAUCGUCUCCGCCACCAACCGGAGGAAGGCAGGAGAGGUCGCUAGAUCGCCGGACAAACGCCCGGACAACGUGGCCGUGUCUGAGCAAGGCAUGACAAAGCCUCCCUCCUAAAUAACCGGAUGCACCGGUCACCAGUACCUUCAUACUCACACUCUCCCUCCCAAGUAAAUGACGCCAACAACCAGCAAGACCUAAUUAUUACCAUCUUCCAAAGGUGUUUUAGUUUAUUUUAGGGAAAUUUUAUUAAAUUGGAAAUAAAUAGAUGAUAAUGAUGGAAAAGGCUUACAAAUACAAACCUUAAAAUUUCCCUCUUUCCUUAAUAAAAUCAAAUUUAGGUCAUCUAUAAUAAUGAUUUUCAAAAACUAUUUUAGAAAAUAGUUUUUAAAAAUUAUUGUUCAUGUUUUGCACAACAAAAAAUUGUUUGAAAACCUGAAAUAUUUUUAACCAAUUUUUAAUAUUUUUAAAUAUAUUUUAAAAAUAAUUUUGAUAUCUAAUGCUUUAAUUUUAAUUAUUUUAUAUUUUUAUAUAAUUAUUUUUUCAAAAACAAUCCUAAAAUAAUAAGUGAAAACAAUUAAAAAGAUGUUUGAAAACAUUUGUUUUGUUUCAAAAAAUAAAAAACUGUUCCCAAAAAAAAUUACUAAACAAAUUCUUAGCAUUUCAAAAACAAUCUUUUACUCAUUUCCUUCAUCUUCAUUUUUCAAGUAUUUUUUUUCACUCUAAAAAUUCUUGUUUUGUAUGUGAUUUAAAAGCAAUUUUCUAUUUUUAAAAAUAGAAAACUGUUUUUAAAAAUUCUUAACAUGGUUUUACUAUUAUUCUUUGAAAAUAUUUUUUAAAUUCUAUUAUCUAUAUAUAUUUCAUUCUUCAAUACUUCCUUCUUAAAUUUUCAGCAUUAUUUUAAAUUUUACAAGCAUUUAAUUCAUCUCCAUAAUUGGUAUUACGACCCUAUCGCUCAUAAAAAAUGAUUAUACAUAUUGAAAAAUAAGAAUGGCUUAAUUUUUUAAAUUAAACUUAAUAUUCUAAGAGGACAUUAUAAUUUUAGACUCUUGAUUAUAGAUAUUGAAAAAUAAAAAUGACUUAAAAAUUUUAAAUUAAUUAAUUACGAUUUAUGACAAAAAUUGAAAAAAAAUUUGUUCUCUAUAAAUAACAAAAAUAAAAUAAAGUGAAUAAAAACCUCAAUUAAAUGUUAUAGUAACAUGUUAUCUUCACAAGACUUGGCAAAAAAAUUUGAGGGAUUAUUUGAAAUUAUUCAUGAAGGAAUUAACAAAUUAAAUGAGUCAAAAAUCAAUGUUUUUGUGCACAAAAAUUAUUUAAUACAAAAAGAAACAAAAUGGAGUUUGAAGACUAAUUAAGUCGUAUGUGUAAACUGGAAAAAGAAAUAAGCCGAAUAAAUUAUUCACUACUUACAUUUAACUUAUUUGUAAACAACUUCGACUUAUAUAAAGCAUUUGUAAAGAGUAAAAUUGAAUAUUCUUCCAUUUAUUAGAUAUUUGAAUUAAGUUAAUUAUAAAUAAAAAUAUUAAAUAUUUAUAAUUAAGUAAAAUUGUGACCAAUUAAAAAUAAUUACGUAACAUAAACUUUUUGAAGAGUAUUUGCGGGAGGGUGAAACUUAACAUUCUCCAAUAUCAUAAACUCAAAUUAUGUUAAUUAUAAAUAAAAAAAUCAAAUAUUUAUAAUUAAUUUAAAUUAUGACCAAUUAAAAUUCAUUACAUAACAUAAAUUUUUUAUCAAUAAAAUAAUAUUUUGCGUAACAUGAACCCAUGAUCAAAAGAAAAGAUAAAUGGUCAUUGAUAAUCAAAGCAUAAUUGUUAGAACUAAUAAAUUUUGAUAAUUAAAAAAUAAUAAUUAUAAAAUUUAAUAGAAUAAAACAUCCAAAUCUUCAAAUUAGGAAAACAUGUGUUUUUCUUUGUAUUCCAUCCUUGUUACUUCGUUUAACAAACUGCCCAUUAAUUUUUUUUUUUUAUAAAUUUUAGGGACAAAACAUUAAGUAAAAUACCAAAUAUAAUAUUUCAAAUCUUCUUAAAUAUUAUUUUUACUUAAAAAAUUACAAAGUCACAUCAAAGAAGUCAAGGCCAAAUCAAACUAAAACUUACGCCACACAAAAGCUGAAGCCAAACCGGAUCAUAAUUUCGCCAAAGUCGAACUCAAGCCAAAGCUCAAGUCUAGCCAGGGGCUAGGAGAUGAAUUAAGAAUCUUCAGAUGACAUGGUGAAAAUGAAGGAGCUGUAGUGAAUGUUGGCGAUACACUUGCAUUGUAUUUCGCAAACAUAUGAUGGGCAAUCCUAUGAGUGGACGUUACAUUUCACACCUCCCUCUUAUUCUACUCUCCUUUAAUUGUUCUCCAGUAAAGUUACUGUACAUUAUCAUGUCAGAAAGAAGGUCCAUCACCUCAAUUUCAAACCAUGCCAAUCUGCCCUUCAUUGUUCCACACACUACAAAAACAUCAAAACUUGGAAAGCUCCUCUUCAUCUCCAGCUAAAGUCUUCAGCUUCCCAUCUGAUGAUGUUCCAGGGUACGUAUUGCUUUGGAGGACAUGCCAAAAUCAAAUGACAAGCUUUAUUCAACUUUGUAACAAGUACAGCCUCUAUAAUCUUGAGCGUCGUAUACAUCUAAUGGGGUUGAAAGGGGCGUGCCUCCGUGUCCGAGCAGAUGCAGGUGCAUUUGAGGAGCCUGAUGACCUUAUAUCCCAAUCUUCAACGUCUUUGGGAACGCAGACAUCAAAAAGGAUUUGACCAAAAACUCCAUGGGCGUUGAUGCUUGGCAGGCUUGACAGAUGGAUCAAACCUUCCUUGUGUUCAUUUCGCACCGACCCAACAUUUCUACCCUCCUGAUACUCCAAUGAGCUAGGUGAGAUGAAGUGAUCAUUCAACUCCAGUGCAACCCUCCCAAAGCACUCAUUUGAGCUUGUUGUUGCUUUCUUUGGCUGGCAAAUGGGGCUGGAUGUCUCAUCAUGUACUUCCAAGCUCAUCCUUUCUGCUUCUAGUCUGCGAAUUCUUUGGGAAUAUAUUAUAGCUGCCUUUUCAAGAAGCUCAGUCACUGCAGCCUUGUAGUCAAUCAUAUGAUACCGAUAAUGAUCUGCAACAGCAUUUAACCAUGGGAAUAUGAUUAUCAUGUAUUGUGGUUUACAGAGAAUUCAGAAAUGAAGAUAAUUAGGAAAGCUUUAUAAACCCAGCCCCUUACUAGGCAUAGAAACAGUUGUAUAUGAUAUGACACCAAAUCCCAUAAACCAAUUUGACAUGAGAUGACUAAGUUUUGGCCUCUCACGUUAAGCAACCUUGAGAAUCCCCGUUCUCUCCUCCCUUCCACCACCCAACAAGUACAAUACCAUAACAUGAGAUUAAGCUCCCUGCAAAAUCUGAAUCCCACCACCACCCACAAUGUAACAACCUGCCCUCAACUGUAUAAAUAUUGUUUAUUUUGAGUCUAAAAGGUUCUCAUGGCUUUAAAACAUGAUUACAAGGUUAAGAAGAGUUUAAACAUAUACAGUGUCAAAAACUUUUUCCUUUAUCUGAUAUGGGAUAUCACAAUUCACACACUACCCCAAAAACACCCUUAGAUGGGGGUCCAUAAAGAGGAUGAAACUCGUAAAUCUUCCAUUCCUCAACCACCAUGGUACAAUGGCUUUGCCUGUUUAUGUACAAAAGGCACAUUAAUACAAAGUUUUUAUCCCUCCCACACUUGAGUAGAAAAGGAACUUGAUCCACAAAUUUUAAGGGCAUCAAGGGCAUUGAGGUGGGUAAAAAAGAUGCUUGUGGCAGGUUUCCCUUUUUCAUCCCAAAAUACAAUACAUUUCUCAAAUAAGAUUAGAUCUAGGAAGCUCAGUUUCAUAUAAGCAUUUACAAUAUACCAAAUCACAUGUGACAUACCUCAGAAUUUCUUUUAUUGCCUAAACAUUUGAUUGGAAAGGACAUUCACUCUCACAACUAUUACCAGGGAAGGAGGAGGGAAGAAAUGGAGGAUUUGGUGGGUUUCUUUACAAUAAACCAAAUCACAUGCAAUAGACCUCAGAAUUUCUUUUAUUGCCUAAACGUUUGAUUGGAAAGGACAUUCAAUCUCACAACUAUUACCAGGGAAGGAGGAGGGAGAAAUGGAGGAUGUGGUAGGUUUCUUUUUUCUUUUAUUUAUUUAUUUAUUUUUUAUUUUUAUUUGCCCUUCAAAAGUGUAAUAGAUCUCAGGGAUAAAAUCAAAUUUAUGAAAGCUUGUUGCUGGGUAGCAUUUAACUAUAUAUCCUUUGGAUUUAAUGUGAUGUUCUGCAGGUGUCAGAGCUCCAUAAAAGUAGUGUUGGCCAUAUUUAUCAUAUGGACUGUAGCAAAAAAACCAGGGCAAUUUAAGUUUAGGAGCAGACCUACAUGAGGAGAGCUGUUCCAUUUCACCAGCUUCACGUCACCCCCAAGUUCUUGUAAUCGCUGAGCAAAAUUGCAGAUAAUUUGAUAGGGAGCAAGGUCAUCAUCCUCUGAGCAUAAAAUGAGAUAUGGGGCCCCCAUGAACUGCAAAAGAAUGAUAUUAAAUGAACAAAGCAGACAACAAAAUUGUUGGCUUUGAAUGGCAAUAGAUCUGAUAGAUACAUACAAUAGAGGAGUACAGAGUUUGCCAGUAUUCAGCACGCUGUGAUUCAAACCGAUUGAGGAAGAGCGCAUCCAGACUAGAAGCAAUACCAUUUGCAAUCCAUGAUACUAGUCUAGGAGGAUGGGGCACUUUGAGAACAGUUGGUUUAAGGAGAAAUCGAGUACCCACAUCGCUGGUAAAAUCUGUUGGACAAGAGUCAUAGAUGUGGCCAGCAACACAGUCUCUAACAAGCCGAUAUUCAUCCUUCAUUGGAAAUAAAAACAAAUGAAUAACGAUCCUGUUUUGAACUUCUCAAAUUUAUAUAAAUGCUAGCCAAAUGAUUGUCUACAUCUUUAGCCAAAGGAGACAAUAACCACGGUAUCUUAAUUAGCUCAAAGUAUGUGUAUACAUUAACAACUUCAAAGAACCAUAUCAACAGAACAAGGUGAUCAAUGAUCAAACACAAUCAUGUAACUGAAGUAUAAAAAUUGAAUUUUAUUAGCUGAAGUAUAAAAAGUACCGGAUUGAGUUGUGCUUCACACUUUCCCUCGAUUAUCUGAAACAAAGAGAGAAAAAUUAUUCAUAUUGAUGUAAGCAUUCAAGUUCCUGAUCUCUGGGGUGCAAAAUUCACUAGGAAAGUAAAAGAAAGUUAACUUAACACUUGCACAUACUGACAUAUAGAAUGGUGAGUCAAAAGGAGAAGAAGGAAAAGAGAGAGAGAGAGAGACAGAGAGAGAGAGAGAGAGGUCACCUGAAGAACCUUGUACAUGCAGGCUUUUGGACCACCAGAAAAAGAUGCAAAGACAACUGGGCAUGGCCUAGUCUUUAGCUCCUUCAUAUCCAAUGAAAAGAAAAUGAUAUCAGUUAACCUUACUCUAUGCGUAAGUUUUCUCCAAAAGAAAAUCCUAAGCUUGAGGAUAGAUAUGUUUUGACUAAUAAAAAAGAGAAGAUUACACUGAAAAAAUUUAUUUAACAUAUUGCAUCACGGCAGAUCAAGGAAGUUGUUUUCUCAUCGGAGUCCCACAAUAUGGGAACAGAAUUGACAAAGCUAUGCUAAUUUUCAACUCCCAAUUUUUUAUUUGCCAUUUGUGAGGAUUCCCACCCAUAUUUUCACGGUUUUUCAAACUUGAGGAGGCCUUGUAACAGAUCAUAACCCUAUAGACAUUCAUUCAGAAUAUCAUCUAGGCAAACUAAAUAUAAAGACAUCAAUUUGUAGUUGGUGAUAUAACAGCACUAACCUUAACAAGCUCAUUAAGAAUGUCAGACGCCAGGGAUGUGGCCUUCUCAGGAAAGAAUCUGCACAUCUUAGAAAUUAUACUCAUCAAAUCCAAAUUAAACCACAAAGAAAAACAGAGAAGAAAAGAAAAUACAACUAUGAUAACUGGAUUUGUUUGGAUGGGUGAAUCCUGGAAAUAUUGAAAAAGUGCCAAUUAUUUGUGCUCUUUCAGUAUAACACUAGCAACUUCUGAGUUAUGAUCAUGAGUAUGCACUUUUCCAAACAAUUCAUGAUGGAUUCCAUUUUUCUUUUUUGGAAUGACACUUUCCCAGUAAAAUGCUGCACAUAACAUCCAGCUGUCAUUCUAACAUUUCAUCAAUAAUAUAGCUCACUAACCUUACAAUCUUAAUGAUGAUAAGCUUCGCCCAUCAAUAUAACACAAUUGUUUUCUGAUUUGAUCUGAUAAAAACCGUGGGACUUUAAUGGUCUUAGCAAUCAAUUUAUGUCAAAGAAUUUAGCAUACAAAUGAGAGUCACAAGAUAAACCCAAGAAUAUUAGUCAUUGGGAGACGUCCUGUAACAAGCCCACUUAAUCAUUCACUCCAUGGUAUGUUCUAUGCUGAAAGGAUCCAUCUCAGGAUCAAUAGAAACCAAUAAUCUUCUCAACAGCAAGAGUUCAAUGCACUCAAAUAUUAACUGUUGUUCUUCCUUGCUGGACGUCAGAUUAUAGGAUCUCAAGUUGGUCAGUGCUUCCAUUCCAUCCACUUGAAUUAUAGUUAUGUGGUAUGCUUCUAUAACACCCCAAUUGUUAGUUCUUUACUGGCAACAGUUUUGGACCAUGUUGGGGAAUGCUUCCAGUGCACUUUUAGUUAAAAUUCUAGAAAGGAGAAAAAUAUAAGUAGAUGCUUCAUUGUGAAUAGUAAAUAUAUUAUUGCCCAUCCAUGAUGGCACAAUUUAUCCACUUUAAGCUAUCAUAUUAUAAGUAAUGCACAUUCCUUAGUUAAACUACACUAGUGGAUUCAGAUUUCAUUGACACACUGGAAUUCUUGUUUUUGAUCUUAAUUAACAACUAUAAGAACAUUAUGCAUCUAUCUUUCUACCCGAUACAUGAUUCUUAUAACAGUCUACUGAGACUGCAUCAAUCUGUCAACCAUGAACCCAGAUUUCAGUCACUGUCUUUCAAGAAACAGACCUGGGCUUAUAAACUGUCCCCAUUACAGCAUUUUCAAUGCAGAAAACAAUUCCUAUUCUUUAUAAACAACUACAAGAACAUUAUGCAUCUUUCUACCCAAUACAUGAUUCUGUAUAACAGUCUAGUGAGACUGCAUCAAUCUGUCAACCAUGAACCCAGAUUUCAGUCACUGUCUUUCAAGAUUGUUUCAAGAAACAGACUUGGGCUUAUAAACUGUCCCCAUUGCAGCAUUUUCAACGCAGAAUGCAAUUCCUAUUCUUCAACAGUUUUCUUAGAUUAAAAGUGAUUGUUUGUUACCAGAACUCAUAGAUUAAAAGUUAUUGUUUCUUACCAGAACUCAUCAAUCUUAGCAACGAGUCAAACUAACUUAUGGCUCAACGUCAAAAGGUACAUUCCAUUGAAGUCUUUUACAUCACAACAUCUUAAAGAAACUAAAAUUUACAGUACCGUGACUACAAGCUAGCUAGUAUGGAAGUACCAUUCAUCAUCCGCACCCUUUUAAAUUUCACCAGAAAUCAGAUUUCUGAGAAACCCAACAGAGAAGGAAAAUUAAAUUACAAAUUCGGAAACUCAGAGCGACCCUAUUUUUGGCAACUGAGUCAGACCCAAGGGAGACAACAAAUAUCAGAUAAUGAAACCUAACUCCUGUAUUACCAAUCAAAGCAUCAAACAGUCAAACCUACAGAAAAAAUUUGAGGAUCGGAGGAAAAAAUACCAAAUUGAGGAUAAGUGGACAUACACAUUGAGAAAUUCUGGAUGGCAAAUGAGGGAAUUCCAACCCAGAGACGAGUAGAGCUGCACAUAGUUCUUCAAGUGCUUCUCCUGACUCGACAUCCAUGCGAAUACCACCACGAUUCCUUCAAUCUUCCCAGCCGUCUCAUUUCUUCCCCAAUAAAACUUACCCCCAAACCCCCACAUCUCCUCCUUAUUUUCCCCAGGAAAAAAAAAAUCAGGAAAAAUUUUGGGGACUUAAGAAUAAGACUCCAACCAAGAACAAUGACUCGCGCUUGACCAGGGAAUUUCCUAGAAUUGCCAAUGGGCGAAAUACGGAGGGGUUAAAGGCGCAAAGCCUCUUCCUUAUUUUGUCUCGAAUGAACUUGCAGUUGUUCAUACCACUUUUGGACAAUUGGACGGAUUUUCUGCCGUCGUAAAUUGUAAAAGCCUAAAAUCUGUCCCACCACCUACUUGUGGCCGUGAAAGGUGUGCCACAUCCAGCGUGGGGUCUUGGUUAUGGCUGUCCAGAUCGACUAUCCAUGUACGACAAUGCCCCCUCUGAUUUUCUUUGCGUGACGUGUCAAUUUCCCAUCGGUAGUUGAUGUCUUUAUUGCAGGUGACUAAAAAUGUUAUGAUUGUAGACGAUUAAAAUCCUCCUAAAACGCCUUUGAAUGAUCGGACUUCGUGAUUUGUCACGUUCUUAUCUUUCCAAAAAUCCUCAUAAUCUAUGGGUAAAAGAUCAACUCAGAUGAACAUAGACCAAGUAUUUUCAAGGACUAAAUAUUAAAUGAUUCUUAUUGGAUAAGUCUAACAAAGGAUUAGAGUACCUUUAAGGAGAGGUCCUACCUCCUACCAAAUAAGUAAUCAAGGCUGGGCUUGCAUUAUUUGAUGUCGCUAUCGCGUGCCAUACCAUAUACGGCCUAUCCAAAUGCAGUAGAUGCAUCAUUUUCUGGCGCAACGAAACUCCUUACACCUCCACCAAACUGUCUUCCCUUUCCUUCUGAGCUGACGUAUUAAUCAGGUGAAAAAGACCCUUCAUUUAAAUAAAUAAAAAAUCGAUGCGUGAGCUAGAUCCAUUUAUGCCCCACCUUGACCUAAAUUUUUCCAUUUUUUUCUGUAAAAAAAUUUAAUGAGCUUGCGUGGGAUUGCAAAAGACUACUAAAAAUAAUCAGUUUAUAAAGACAAAUAAGGAACACAAGACUUUUAAACAAGUUCAUGGCUCCUCGACCCAGAUGCAAGUAGGUAGAUCAUUGAUCCUGAAUCCAUUCAACUUUCCUAACUCCUCCUGGGAUGCUUUCUUUAAACCUAUCUAAAUUCUUAACAAUUCAAAAAUGGUCAAUGGAAUAUAUACCAUCUGACGGUGAUUGUAUCUGAUCAAUGGCAGUAAAUCCAAAUUAGGGGCAAAUUAGUUUUCAGUAAGCACAAAUAGCAAGGGCCACUUGUCCUCUCAUGGAGCCGGACCUUCAAUAAGUUAAGGUUCACCAACUUGUGGCACAUAACAAAAUAUUUUAAAGGCUCCGAGUUCAAACGUAGUUAACCAUCUCUUGCAUUGCAUAUGACCGCCCGUUCCAGCUCACAGAAUUCACUGGUGUUUGCCUCCCCAUCCAAUCAGCAACAAGAAGUUGAAAGCCCGGUUGUUACUAAUGAUCAUAUUAAUCAGGGGAUCACAUUCUGAACUUUCCAGAGAAGUAAUGUCCAAAAGCGUGCCAUUUGCUCCUCCUAUUUUCUCAACCACUUGUUGGUUCUGCGGCUAAAAUAUAACAUUCUGUGUAUGAUCAACAAAAUUUUGCAGCAUCCAAGAGAUGUUGAUGGACACAAUCCCAGCACACCUUAUUCAAGCACAUUGUUGAGAACAGUGAAAAUGAUUAUAGGACUGGUACAAAACCACCGGCAUUGCCAAUCUGAUUUGAAGAUGAUGGUCUAUUGGUAGAGAUUAGGAAUUGGGGCUAAAAGCAACACAACCUUGAACCACAAUCCCAUGUUUGAUAUUUGAUGAGGCUGGCAAGACAUUCUUUAUGGAAGCCAUGGUAGCAACAGGCCAAAUAAAUACUAUUGACUGAUAUCUUGCAGAAGUUUUUCAAGCGCUUCAGUUGCAAGAGGGAUGUACAAGCAGUCCUGACCAUCAGAAUGUCUCCUGGUUUUGAUCAACUCAUGAUCUUUGAAUUCUGUCAAAUGAGAGUUCAGUGUAAUCUGGCUACUCACCAGAAAGCGCUCUCGACAGAUACUGUACAAAUUGUUGACAGGCAUCCCUGAAGAAAAAUGUAACAAGAUAUGAGGAAUCUGAGACAGAAAGAUAAUGCUAUGAAGUAUGUGUAGCUACUUGCCCUCUUCAUCAGGAUGUGCCAGUUGAUGUUCUGCAAGAACUUUGAAUACACUCUGGGCAUUGGGCGUCAAACUCUGAAGAACUAUUGCAGCUGUUUUGGCACUUUGGGCAGUGCCUCCAUGAGCAAGAAUCAAAGGGUAGAAUAUUCCCUCAGCCUUGUAUGGCACAAAGGUAGGGACAUGAUACCAGCACCAGUUGAACUGUGUAUGAACCAUCUUCUUGUCCCAUACUACCAGCAAACACAAAUAUGGUGUUAAUAGAUAUAAACUUUGUUAAGGAAAUAUAGAUGUUCCAUAAUGUUAGACAUUGCUGCUUAUCAUGAAAUAUUGCCCAAGUAGCUUUCAAGAAAAAGAAAAGAGGAGAAAGAAAUUCCCACGGCUAGAAUUAACAAUCAAAUAUGAAAAUGUCAUUCAACAGAAGCUAUGCAAAACGCAAUGGCAUAGUAGGAAACUGAACAUUGCUUAUUCUCUAUGAAAUGAUAACGGCUUGCAAGAAAAUACUUACAUAGAGGUGCGUUCACAUGGUCAAUAGAAGCAACCAUACGGAUGUGGGAACAAGCAGCAACACGUGCAAGGUAUUGUUGAGUAUCAGAGUCUCGUAAUCCAGGUCCAUCAAUGUUGUGAAUGACAACACAAACAAAACAAUCAUUUUUCUCCGAGUGUGACCCAUCCAUAAAAGCAAGAAGAUCAUCCAUGGAUCGAGAAUUAAAUGGCUGUUGAACUUUUGGGAAAUCCCCUGAAGGAGUGCGUCUGGUUUUCAAUUGAUCCCAUAGAGCUUCAGCUAUGGCUGUCACAGCCUACCAUGCAAAAUGAUAGUGAUUUAAUUGAAUGUGAAGUGGACAAAUAGUCAAUAUAAUUAACUUGAAUGAUGACCCAAGCAAAUGCUUAUACUGUGUGGUACAUAGGUUAAAGAAAUGACUGGAGGAAAUAUGUGUAGCAUACAGGUUAAACUACAAGUUAUUAAACCACUACAUAUAAAAAUGCAGAUACAUGGUUGGGUCAAUGAUUGAAGGCAAAUUCCAUGCAAUUGGUUAAUAUAGUGAUAAAACAAUUCACUUGAGUCUAGCAACAGGAAAAUAUUUGAACUAAGCUAGUUAUUAGAUGCGAGCAUAUUCAGCACAGGAAAGAGAAUCCCAUUUCAAGAGAAAGGUAAAUGCAAAAGAUCCAGUUCUAUAUAAAAAAAAAAAAACAGGAAAAAAAAACCACCAUCUUGUAAUUAAUAUGAAAUUAGGAAUAUCAAUGCCUACCAAACCAAUUAGAUGGCUCUCUAUUCCAAAUUAUGAUAGCUUCACUCAAUAAUGUGUGGCAAUUAAAAGUCUAAACAUUACUUAAUCCCUGGCUGAAAAACGAAGCCAACCUUGUUUUCAUACUCUAACGUGAACAAAAGGCUAUUAGCGCCUUAGUUACAUUCUUCCUUGCAUGGCAUUGUGACACCAAUAGCACUAGAUCAUUGACUUGAACAGGAGAAAAAAAAUACAAAAACCCAGUGAAGACUAUAAGUGGCAUAAGAGAAACAAAAGUACAAAGAAACCCAAAUAAGUUACAAUCUCAACUAAUUUGACACAAAUAAUAUCAACUUUCUUGCUUUUUNNNNNNNNNNNNNNNNNNNNNNNNNNNNNNNNNNNNNNNNNNNNNNNNNNNNNNNNNNNNNNNNNNNNNNNNNNNNNNNNNNNNNNNNNNNNNNNNNNNNUCAACUAAUUUGACACAAAANAUAUCACUUUCUGCUUUUUUUCCCAACAACAGUAGAGUUGCAGGUUAGGGGCAUUUAAGCCUUGACAAAAACUCCAUGCCCAGUUAUAAUCAUAAUCAUUGGAAAAACAAUAAUUGUGUCAAAUAUAUUAUUCUGGAAAGUCAAUUCUGCUAAUAGGGCAUUCAAGAUUAGCUAAUAUCAACUUUCUUGCUCUAUCUUUCAGUUAAUAUCUUGCUACCUUAGCAAGAACCGCAGCAAGAGAAACUAAAUCUAAUAAACAAUAAAUGGACAUUUUAGUAAAUUUAAAGGAACUAAUCUACUGAAUUCUUAUCAACCUUAACAAAAAUCAUUUUAGUAAAUGCAUCAGAUGAAUAGCCAUAUUCACCAUCAUAACACUACUACUAGCCCUGUCACGAAGACUAACAUUCUCAACAUCACUAUUCGCACACUCCUAUCAUCGACACAAUCACCAAAUCAACCUUGCGCCUCUGCAUAUCGUGUUCACACAUUAAAUUUUCCUGCCCAUUUGAGUCUGUAUAGAAAACCUAAUAUAACCUCUUUGUUAUGGCCUUCCUCAUACACAAAACUCUUUUCUGGACAUGUUCCUAUUAUAGUCCACAAGAUGUGCACACUAGUAAAAACAAUGGCAGUACAAAAGCUCAAGGAUAUGAGCAUUGGCUGUAACUUUACUUUGGUGUGUCCAAUGUACAGAGCCGAUAUGUUUUUUAACGAUGUCUACCAUUGCAACUAAACUUAUAAUCCUAGAAAAAUGCAAAAAGGCAAGAGAAACGCGUACCACUAUAAAAUAGAAUCCAAGUAGCAAUACCUGUUUUAUAUUGAUUGACUGAAGAUACCCAUUGAUUACCAGAACAGCACAUUCAGUAAGUGCUGUUGAAGCAAAAUCCUCGAUCAAGGCCUUCUUAGAUCCAAAUCCAUACAUCAAAAGACCAAAUCCACACCUGAAAUUUUGUUAAAAAUAAUAUGAUAAGAAUAAACACAUGUAAAGAUAUGCUUUUAAAAAAAAAUGUAGAAUGUAAUUAGACCUCAAUCUCUGUAAAGAUAUGCUUUUAAAAGACUUUAGAAUGUAAUUAGACCUCAAUCUCUACUAUAUGCAUGUCAUACAUGUCAAUCAAUCAAGAACGUUGAAUUAGGAACCUACACUCCACAAAUCAGCCUGAUCAGAUGACAUGAAGGAUAGAUCCAAAUGACUUGUCAAAAAAAAGAAAUGAUGAAUCCAAAUUAAUUAUAGCAACAGCAGUUAAACAAUUUUCCAUUCUUCUGCAGACAAUAACAGGGAACCAUAUUUCCAUAUGACAUUGCUCCUAAUCUUCCCUCAUCUAGGUCAAAUAACUCAAUCAUAACAAAUCUCUUUUGUGAUGAUGAAUAUCCAACAAGCAACAUAUAGUAGUAAGUAAUAACAUCCAAUUUGUUACAUGCGUAAGUGCACAACUAAAUUGGCAGAACUCCAAGAAUUCAGAAGAAACCUUCCUAUGAAGUAUCAACACUCAAAUUAUUAGUAAAAACCUCAUUUCAAUGUCCUCAGACGAUCAAACGCUCAAAAAAUCACUAGCAAAAAUUAGCUACAUCAGGAGUCCAGAUAAAUACAGCAAAGGCAAUUCUAACACUUCUAAAUUCCCAUCCACCGACAACAAGGUCCGUACCUUAGCUCAAAUACCCAUUUAGGGUAUAAACUUUUAUAACUGUUCAACAAAGAGCCGAUCUCCUUUUCAUGUUUGGAUUCAAUACUACGUGCUGCUGCUCUUAGCUCCUGCACUCAGUAAUAAAAAAAUGCCAUUUACAUUUAGGCUCUGUUUGGUUGCCCCAAACAAUGAAAAAAGACUGAGAAGAAGGAAAGUGAAUUUUUUUGAAACUUUGGGAUAGUACAUAAGAAACCGCAGCCCAAAGUUAACUCAGUCAAGCAAAAGAACAAAAUUCAACGAAAUUGAUCUUUUCGUUUCCUUGAUUAAGCCUAAAAAUUCUCUUUUUUUUUUUUUUUUUUUUCCCUCCUUCGGACUUAAUUCUAAUUUUAUUUUCCUUUCUACUUACUCCAUUUUCAGCUUCUCGUAAUACCAAAAUAACGGAGAAAAAAAUGUCCCAUUCUCAUUUCCUUUUCUUUUCUCCUCUAUUUCUCAGCAACCAAAUGAACAAUAAAAAAUAAAUAAAUAGAGGACCUGUUCGUCAACGAGCUCGAUGUCAGAUAGCUUCCGGGAUGAUUUCUUUCCAGAUCCACCCAACUCUUUGGCGAUAAAAUAGUUUCUAGCGAAUCCGAAUUCCUCAUCUUCGCCGUAGUUUCCCUCCAUGAUUCCUAUUCCAACUGCCAAACAGAUCGUAAGCCCUAAUCACUGGAUGGAAAUAAAGCGGAGAGACCAAAUAAAAUUUUUCUCGCAAUGCAGAACCCCUAGUAUGUUUCCCGCGCUUUUUCCUUUCUUAUGAAGUCAGUUCCUCUGCAAUGUAAUAUUUCUACGGUAUUGCAUUAAGUCAAGGGUUUAGAUACUCUACAUCGCACUGAUGUGUUUUGACGCGCCCAUUUGGAAAUGAUUCAAAUUUCAAGCACCUUCCUUUCAAUUUUCACGGGAAAAAGAUCAAACUCCUAAUUAUUUUUAUGCAAGUGUAUUAAAUUUUAAAUUUUCAUUUUAUUAUUAUUAUUAUUAAAAAAUAGCGUAUCAAAACACAUAUUUUCAAAUUACUUCCUUAAUUCAAAGUUAAUCCUUCAAUAUAAUUUAAACCUUAAUUCAAUCCUGAUAUAAGGUUAUAAUUAAGGCAUAUUCAAACAAGUUGUUUUUUAAAAUUAGAAAAUAUUAACAAUAUUUACAUAAUAUAUAAUAACUUUUAAAUAUUUAUAUUAAAAAAUGGUCAUUUUUAAAACUAUUUAAAAAAAUUAAAAUGCAAAAAAAAAUUAUUUCCUCAAAAUUUAAUUUUUCUAGAGAGUGAUUUUUUAAAUAUAUCAUAAAUUUGUGAUUUUUAUAAAUAAUGUUUUGUUUUUCUAUAUUUUUUUCAUUUUAAAAAUAAAAAACACAAAUAAUAUAAACUAACAUUUAAGGUUUAUUUUACAACUGUUUUUGAAAACAAUUUUCUAUUAUUAAAAAUUAGAAGAUAUGAAAACAAGUUUAAUAAUUAAUAAACUAUUUUAUGUUAUCCAUUUUUAAGAAUAGAAAACAUGAUAUUUUCAAAAAAUAUUUUUUUAAUAUUUUUUACUUUUUUUUGGAAUUAUUUAAAAAUAGUAAUUAUAAAUAAUUAAAAUUAAAACAUUAAAUAUAUAAAUUAUUUUUAAAACAUAUUUUAAAAUAUUAAAAAAUUUUCACUUUCAAAUAUACUUUUGUUUUAUAAAGCAUCGUGGGAUAAUUUUCAAAAAUUAAUUUUUUAAAAUAAUUAUCGAGCCUUAUUUUUUCUCUUUUUUCUCCUCUAACAUAUUUUUAUUUAUUUAUUAACAAUGCAACAAUAAAAAAUUUGAAGUGCGAGAAUCAUUGUUCGUUCGAAUUUUAUAUUCUACUCAAAAUAUUCGAUUGCAAUUAAUUAAAUAUAGCAUCGUAUCAAUUCUAAUAUUUUAGAAUUUGAUCCACUUCUUUAAAAUUUAGUAAUCUCAUGGCUGAUAGUGUAGCGCAUGGUACACAGGCGUUAUUUUAGAAGAAAAAAAUCUGCCCCCUACAUACUCUUCAGUCUUCACUGUCCAUUCGAUCCGGCCUCUCGUGUAUUUAUGGAAAGCACGUGACCCAACUUGCUUCACUAAUGGCAAUUGGCAGUAGCCGUCCCCACAAGCGAGCACGAGUCUUCCCCCGAGACACAAGAAUAAUGGUAAUAAUAUAUUGUUUUCGAAAUAGGAUCCAACGGAUGAAGGAAAGCACACGUGGCAUAAGUCGAUUUAAUUUUAAUUGGUUAAAUAAAAAUAAUUUUUAGAACGGUUUUUAUUUAAUUUUUAUUUUAUAACUAAUUUUUUGUUAUGACAUUAAUUUUGAAUCCCCUUGAUUCAGAAUAAAUAAUAUUUGUAAGAUUAAGUGUGAUAUCAUUACAAAUUUAUUCAAAAAAAUAAAAUAAAAAAUAUAAAAAAUAGACAUGUUUAAAAAGCAGAAAAAUUCGUUCGAUUCAGAAUAAAUAAAAUUUACAAGAUUAAAUGUGAUAUUAUUACAAAUUUAUCCAAAUUAAAAAUCAUAUUUUUCAUACAAAAUAAAAGUAAAAAUAUAGAAAGUAGAGCCUGCAUAAAGGACUUUAUUAAUGGCAUGGUAGUCAAUUAAUUACGGUAUGAAUUUACGAUACAUUUAAACUCCUCGUACAUUUAUUCGGUUUAAAGGAACUUAUCAAGGAAUUAAAUGGAGGCAAUAAUUCAAAUUAGCAAAUUUUAUAUUAUAUUUUAAUAUUUUAAUUUGGACAGAAGCAAAAUACCAAAAAUACCCAUCAAAAUACGGGCGGUCAUCCCAAGGUCGUACGGUACGCUUAAUCCAAUGGGACAGAGAUUCCACCAAUGCACAGCGUUACACCCUAGCGCACGUUAGCACCAGGUUGGUCCGUUUCGCUUGACCCUUGGCUUAGUCUAGCUCCACCUCCUUUAAUGAUUGACCACCGAGAUGGUGAAAACUAGGGCCACCCAAUUAACUCCCGCACAAACCGCGGUACACGUUAGCACAGAACGCCGUCACUAAACAGCGCAUUAAGAGUCUACGACCUUAAUACACGACACAUUAAGCGACUUCACCACCACCACAACUACUUUUACUGUCGGUUUUCAGAGCGUCCAUUGGCCCCGGAAGCAAAAGCGAUUGGGAAACUUCUCUUGUUUUGUGUCGAGAAAAAGGGCGCGUUUGGUUGUAAAGAUCGAUCCAUCGAUCCGUUUCCUGGAAUAUAGAUUCUUGAGAAAAUCUUGCAAUAGAGAGAGAAAGAUGAUGAUGGGAUGAAGGUGAGGGAGGAGGGAGAUGGCGAGAAUAGAGUGGGGAUUUCAGGGGAGAGGGAAGUGGUGUUCGUACAAGAGAACCACUCUAAUUAUCUGUUCCAUCAACAUUGCUGUAGCUCUUUAUGUUCUUCACUCUCUUUAUAACUCUAUUUACAUAUCCUCCAAUAUCGAUUCGCAAAGCGGUAAGGCUCUAAUUCAAACUUGGUUGAUUCCAGAAUGCAGUGCUUUUUUUUUUUUUUUGAGCUGUAGUUGGAUUGUAGGAAAAUCCACCUGGCAUUUGGGGUUCCUGUGAAAACCCAAUUACGAUUUAUUCUCUUUUUACCGUGUUCAGUGAUUGUUGAUUGUUUCUUUGUAUUCAGCUGUCAAGUACACCCCAGAUCAGAUUAGGAAAAUGGAAGAAUCAAUUCGGAUCCGAAGAGCGUCCGAGCCUGUAGAACUUGUUAAAUUGGUAAACCCUCAUUCUCAUGGUUGCUUUCUUGGUUUUUAUUAGUCGUAUUGUUGGGGUUUCACAAGAUUUGUUUUCUUGGAAUUCUUGGGGGUUGGGCGUUUGGUUGGUUGAUUGAGCUGGAUUAGUUUAAUGGGAACUUUGUUGUUGUGGGCAUUAGGUGAAGGAAGUAGAAAAAGAGUUAUCUAGAGAAGCAUCUGAGGUAGAAUUGCCACAGCCCAUUAAACAAAAGAUAACUGAUGAGAUUCUUCAGAGGUUGAAAAGCCUUGACCAUAACUCCAAUGUGAGUGUGCAGAGAGGUAGGUGCACCUUAAUUUCCUUGCAGUUUUACCAAUUUUGUGUCAAUUACCCAUUAUUUGUCCAUGUGAUAGAAGAAUUUUUGAUAUAAUAUUGCAUCAUCUUUUCAAGGGCUGUUGUAUGCCAAAGGAAGCAAGUUCAAGUUUCAUUACAAACACAGGUUUUAAACAUUGAAUUUUUUAGUCAUUCCCUGCUAUAUUUUCAGUCAAAGCUAUUGUUGAAAUCAAAAGAAACUUAAAACCAACUUUUGCAAAGAGUUUGGGGACAUUAUUUUUGCUAAUAAACAUGAAGGAGAGAGACUCAUUAUUGCCAACAUGCAUUUACUACACGCAAAUUUGGUAGUGAUUGUAAUCAUUGAUAUAUUGCAUCAUGAAUCAAAAGGUAUAAGAAGGAUAGAAUAUCCUUCUAGGCAUAAGAAUAAAGAGAUAUGGGGGGAUCUUAUACUAGAGCCUACUAGAAUAGCCAAUACAAACAUCAUGUAGCAAAAGAAGACAAAAGAGCACAAUGAUACAAUUUAGCAACGGAUAAAAUCCCCAACAAAAACCGCUAAGCGACUGAUACUGAGCUUGGCCAAGGAAUCAGCUUGGCGGUUAGCGGAGCAGGGGAACCACUGAAAAGAACACCCCAUCUCUAUAAACAAGUCUGAAUCCUGCCAAUAUUGAAUCCAAUUUGCAAAAGCCUCUCUGUGUGUGACACCCAGGCUAUUUCUGUCGCUAUAUGGCUCUCCACUACAAAGUUGAUGGAGCCACAGGGCAUUUGCUUGAGUCAAUCCUUCAAGUAGUGCUCACAUCUCGGCCUUUAUUGCCAAUCCUGUCCCAGUCAGCAUGGGAAAACCUCUGAUUAACUCUCCUCCAUGAUCACUUAUAGGUCCACCAAUGCCUAUGUGUCGUGGAUUUUAUAUAUGAGGUCUACCUGCUAGGCAUGUAAAAUGUAUAAUAGCACAAAAUUGAACCUGUUCUAAAUAUGAUGACGUAAAGCACUUGGCAAUACCAAUAUUUGAUUGAUAUUAGCAAUAAUGAUAACGCGAACUACUUGUAUGAAACAAAAAAUUGCACUUAUGGUUUAAAUCAAGUUGGAUGAUUACCCAUUAUUACAAAUCACUUUAAUGAAAUGAAAAUUUGCAAUUAUGAUUCAAAUUGAGCUGGAUGAUUACCCGUUAUUUUCUAUGUAAAUGAAAAAUUAUAUAAAAAAGUUCAUGAUGAAAAAGGGGAUGCAACUUAAAUAACCUUUAAAAUCUUAUGUUGAAAUUAAGCCAAAGUUCUCUUAUCCCUGAGUGGUAAGUUGCUUGUUGCAAACCUUUUCUUUUUCUUUUGGAAAUGAUGGAACAUCUCUAAUAUUUUGGUAUUGAAUGUGGAAAUAUUUGUAGAAUUUUUAGGAAAAGGAUUUCCAAAUGUUUCUGUAGCCUUUAGCUUACAUUAAUUAUGUUUAGAAUCUACAUAAUAUUUUCAACAACAGCAACAAUGACAUAGCUGUAAAUCCUGCCUAUUGGUUGGCUACAUGAAUUUUGUCUACCUUUUAACUCUAUUUGGAGCCAGUCUUCGAUCAUGACUUCUCUUACUGCCUUGACUCUGGUUUUUUGGUCUCCCUUCUGUUGUGUAAGCAUCAUUGACUUGAAUCAAAUCAGUUCAUAGUUCUUAUUGCUGUAUCUGUUAGUUUUUAUUGCUUAAGUACGAACCAUCUUAAACAAUCUUUCCUCAUCUUGUUUUCAAUUGGUGUUACUUCUCACCUAAGCGUAGUUAUUUCCUAAUCUUGAUGGUUAUUUCCUAAUUUUUUCUUAUUUCGCCACUUGUUCAUAGCGGCAUCUUGUUUCUGUGAGACUCAUUUUUCAGAUAUGUUGUUUCUUCUUGCCCAACAUUUUGACCUAAAAGUUUCCUGGAGAAAAACUUUUGUCUACAGAUGUGUUCUCUUUACUUUCUUCUUAGAUUUCCCAAACAUCUCCUAAUUGUUUCCUCUAUCACACUACUUGUAUUGUUUGGUUUAUGCUUCCUACUUCCUUUUCCAUCUCAUCUCAUAUUUCCAUUUCCUAAUCUAAAUUAUGCAAUUAUUAGAAUUUAGAACUACCAUAAAAUUAUCUACAAAAAUUAUUAAAAAGCUAUUAAAAUUUUUAGAAAUUGUGACUAAUUUGUGGGAGCUACUAAAUCUUUUACCACCUAGGCAAUUUGAAAUUAGAAAUUGGGUGUAGUAAAUAAGAAAUUGAUGAAUUAUAUGUAUCUAUUAAAAAAAGAAAUUGAUGAUUUAUACGUCUAUCCAUAUAAAGCUGGGGGACUGGUGGGACCAGUGGCUCCACUUUGCCAUAUUAUUUUUCACUUAUACAUGAAGGUGAAAAAGGCCCUUCAUUUGCUGGUUUAGAGUCCAGACUGUUCAGGCUUUUUCUUUGUUGCAAAAGCAAUCAUAAAAUUUCAAGGAAUAACAUUUAAACUUUGUGCCACUUAUUUGAAGAAAAUGGAUUGUUAUUAUUAUUGUCAUUUUUCUGGGGUUUUGACUUGGGGCAAUGAACCCUAUUUUUAUUUUUAAAAUUUAGAAUUCUAUAUUGUACACACAGUGUGCUUGAACAACAAUAAGAAGGAAAGAAAGUAAAAUAAAACAAAAUAAAAGAGAAAAGAAAAAAAUUAAGUUUGUGCUUCCCUGAGAUGUGUAUUCUAUGAAUAGCAUAUGAGCUCAGCUUUCUUUGUUUUUCUGUUUUAAGUUAAAAUUUGAUCUCUCUAUAUGCGUAUAUACUUUUUAGUCCAUAUGUUUAGCUGUGUUGGAAAGUUUUAGUGGUCUGUUGCGCACUGUCUUUUUAUGACAUAUAUGACUUGAGAGUUGAUGGUAAUUGGCCCUUUUUAACUAUCAUGGAAUUUGGAUUUUUCUAUUUUUCCUUAGAUCUCCUUGGAUUGAGCCGGGACUGACUUCUCACAUUUGGAUUUUAUAGGGGGACUGGGUCAAGGUUGGGAUGUCUGGCCUUUGUAUUUGUGUUUAUUUCCUCUUUCUCUUUUGGGGCUCUCUAUAUACUUCUGGUAUACUUGGAUUGUACCUUUUUUUGUUGAGGUGUUUCUCAAUAUUGUGUCUCAACCUUAUCUAUCAAAAAAAAAAAAAAAAAUCCUGUCUCAACCUUAGCCUUCUCUAACUCGAUCCAUUGCUAGUUUUGGUCAUAUCUAGUACUUAUAGCUAACUGUAUUUUGCUGAUCCAAUUUUAGUAAACGUUAUCUAUUUCCAAGUUCUUAUUGAGAAGGGAGGAAUUUAGGAUGUGAAAAAUGGAAUUGGACUUUUGAAUUCCAUCUCCCUUUUAGAAGAAUGGUAAUGUAAUUUUUAUGCCAUCCUCUAGGAAUUAGAGCAUUACCUAAACUUCCUCACUUACACUUCCAUCGUAAGCUUGUCACACCAUAGCCAUUGCUUCCUUAACGUCUCUAUAGUACCACUAGCAUUACAUUAUUACUAUCACCAACUCCACUUAUGCGAGCAUAUUUUGCUAGGUUAAGGGUUUUUUUUUUUUUUUUUUAGGUGGGAUAGGUGAACUAAGAUGCAACAAAAUGCACCUAGAAAAAAGGGGGCACCCUAUAUACACAAGGGGUAUAGAAGAUGCACCAAGGAAUAAAUUAUAAAAAGGAGAAAAACAACAUAAGAUACAGCAACAUAGAGCGAUGUAGCUUUAUUUAAAGUUUUAAACUAUCAAUUAAAUCUAAUAAUGAUUAGUUGGAUAUAACAGUCCUUUCACUACUUCAUGAGGGACUUGAUUAAAAUCUCCUUCAAAUUUCAAUUCAAAAGCUCCUCCUCGGUAAAGGUCUAGCUAUUGUGUUCUCUCCAAGUGCAUCAAAACAAACAGAGGGGAGCUAUUCAAUAUACUUUCUUUCACAACACAACCAUGAGGAAGCUCUUUUUUUUUUUUUUUUUGAUGAGUAAAGCAAUAGAGUAUUAAAAAAAAAAGAGCUCCAAAACAGUGCUCUGAAGUGGACAGGAAGAUCUAUUAACUCUAGAAAGAUCCAUCACAUUUCGAAUAUAGCAAAAAAAAAAAAAAAAAGGUUUAAUAGCAGCCAGGUUUCAUCAAAGUAAAUGAGAAUGUGAUUUACUAAUUUGUUACUUGACUUAAAAAUAAUACAUCUAUUCACCAAUGACCAAUCCUGGGUGGGUUUGUAUUUGAAUUGGGUAAUAGUUCUUUUUGAAAAAUUUUGCUUUACCAAUGGACAAUUUUAAGAACCUAAUAAUCAUGUAAUAAGGAAGAUAACUACAAAGCAAUAAAGAGAUAGGGAGAGAAAAUCUUAACUAGAUAUAAAAUGGUUUGGUGCAAUCCUGCCUACUUCUACGAUCCUCAAACUCCACCAACUCGUAAGGUUGCUCCAUUAUCACAAAAGGAUCCUCCAAAUGCAAGGCUCUGUUUGAGUAUGAUUGAUUUCCGAGGGACAAAUCAACCUUACAAUGUUUGACAAGUGAAAAACACUCACUUAAACCAUUCUCUCUCAGAGUGAACUUACAAUGAAUAAGAAUUAACUGAAGACCUAGCUUGAAACAAUAAGACAUAUGAAUGAAAGUCACUAAGCUCUAAGGUGCAGUCAAUAAGAGUAUGCAAGUUUGGUGGAAAUUGAACUAAAGGUGUGUUUAAGGCUUACAAGGAUUGGCAAGAAUGAUUUUCAGGCAUUAGAAGUGCCUCAAUUGAGGUUCAAAAGUCUUUUACACCAAGAAUUUGAAAGAAAUAAUGAUUAGGUAGCAAUUUCUGCUCAAUCUGUCAAUUGGCAGGUUCACCAGUUAAUUAGCCGUUGGCAACUAAUGCACCUUGCAAGUGACCUUGAUGAUUAUAGAGGCAAACAAAUUGAGUGGUUUUUUUAUAGCUUAGUUGUCUGGAGCCUUUUUUUUUUUUUUUUUUUUGAUAGGAAACGGCAUAGGAAUAUAUUGAUAAAAAGAAGGUACAAUUAGAAGGAUGAGGAAUCCUCCCAACAAAGAAAAACAAGACUACAAGUAAUCAAAUAUAAGAAAGUACAAAAAGAGAAAAGUAGACACUCUAGUUACACGCCGCUAACCAAUCAAGUUGUAAUAUGUUAAGAGGAAUCCCCUUAAAAACCUUAGAACAAAAAGCCCAAAAAGAGGUAAGAAAACAAAUAGAAUCCCAAAGAAACUCAGAAUUCCUUGCUUUGUCCUCAAAAAUCCUUGCAUUUCUUUCCCGCCACACCACCCACAUUAACGCGAUGCACGCGUUUUGCCAUAAAACAAUCUCUCUUUUGGAAGAUCCAAAACCAUUAAAAUUACUAGAUAACAUGUCAAAGAUGCUCCUUGGGGAAACCCAAUCCAUCUUUGCUGAUUGAAAUAAUCUGUGCCACAACCCUAUCGUCAAAGAGCAAUGAAGGAAAAGGUGAUCUACUGUUUCUCCAUGAUUCAUGCACAACUUACAUAUGUCAGGGCUAAGUGCUUUGUAGGGUCUUCUCAAUUGCAGUAAGUCAUUAGUAUUAACCUUCUUGUGAGCCACCAACCAGACAAAGGACUUGACUUUGAAAAGAACUUGAGCAUUCCAGACAAACUUGGUAGGGAAAACUGGAGGCGACUCAGAAUAUUGGGAUAAGGCCAGAAAGAAAGAUUUGACUGUGAAAAGACCUGAAGGAGAUAAGGACCAAGAUCUCUUAUCUGGAACCGAAGGUGAUAUGUGUAGACGAUCAAAAGACUGCAUAAGGCCCUCUAAAUCUUCUAUCUCAGAAUCAAAAAGAUUUCGGCGAAAAUUGAAAUUCCAAGAGAAGGGGUGGGUAUAUCCAAGAAUUGAUGAAAUAGGAGCAUUUUUAUCCGUGACUACGCUAAGUAAUCUUGGAUAUUGGACACCCAAAGGUUGUUCCCCCCACCACAAGUCAUCCCAGAACCGAAUUCUAUCCCCAUUACCUACCACAAACCGAGUAAACUUGGAAAACUCUUGGUAGACUAGUGCAAUGGCCUUCCAAGGACAACGAUGAGACCAUCUAACUAUGUUGUUGACAUCCCAGCCAUUGGAGUGUGAUCCAUAAAUGCUUAAAAUAACCUAAUGCCACAGAGCUGAACCCUCCCUAGGAUAUCUCCAUAACCACUUCCCUAAAAGAGCGACAUUCCUUAUAGAUAUCUUUCCAAAACCCAAUCCCCCUCUCGAUUUCGGCUUACACACUACGUCCCAAUUAACCAAAUGGUCUCUUUUGCCUUCCCCUACGUCUGACCAUAAAAAAUCUCUUUGCAUUCUCUCAAUUUUUGCUGCCACAGAGGCAGGAAUCUUAAACAAGGAAAGAAAGUAACAUGGCAUAUGGGUGAGACAAGAUUGAAUGAGGGUUAUUCUACCUCCAAAAGAUAAAUAUGCCUUCUGCCACUCAUCUAAUCUCCUUGAUAUCCUCUCAAUCACAGGAUCCCAAAAGCCACUUGCCUUAGGAUUCCCUUCCAGAGGAAGACUCAGGUAAAGUAUAGGCCACCCAGAAGCCUUGCAAUCAAGCAUCUCGGCCAACCUAGAAAGGUGAUUCU